AGUGGCUUGUUUCAAGUUGGGAGGAUUUUGGAAGCAAAAGAGCUUUUUAAGGAUAUGCAUGCCCAGGGCUGCUCCCCAGAUCUAGUAACUUACUCAAUUUUGCUUGAUGGCUUAAGCAAACAAGGUUGCCUUGAUCAGGCAUUGGAACUAUUUCAAGAAAUGCAAAACAAUUACUUGAACCCUGAUUUGGUGAUCUAUAAUAUCUUAAUUGAUGCCAUGUGCAAAUCUGGGAAGCUUGAAGAUGCAAGGGAGCUGUUUUUGAAACUCAUUGUCAAAGGAUUGCUGCCUGAUGUUCGAAGUUGGACCUCAAUAAUCAGUGGACUUUGCAGAGAAGGAUUGCUAGAUGAAGCAUACAAAGCUUUCAGACAAAUGGAAAGGGAUGGCUGCCCACCAGAUUGUUGCUCUUACAAUGUUAUUGUCCGAGGAUUUCUCCAGAGCAACAGUGCAUCAAGGGCUGAACAACUUUUUCAGGAAAUGUUUGAUAGAGGAUUCUCUGCAGAUGCCCUGACCAGAACCUUGGCGGCAGAUCUGUUGUCUAAAGAUGACAAUCUUGGUUUGAAGAGGUUGCUCGGUGAAUCUGAAUGUUGUCAAGGUGAAAAGGUGAUGUAAAAUUGUAAAUUUUCCGUACCCAGUGCUGCUAGUUGUUGGUGCAAAUAUUACAUGACUUCUCUUGGUUCAAUCCUGUCGCAAUUUUAACAAUAUUCACUUUCUUUUGUUUCAUGUAGUUCUUACUCUUUAGGACUGGCAUUCACCUAUUCUAGGUUAUAUAUUCAUGCUAGUUCUUUUAUGUGUAUCCAUAAAUAUAGUGUUGGGUAGAUUACCUGAAUGAAAGUCAUUCAAGUUUUCCUGUAAGUUAUUAACUUAUUUAAAUGUUUAUCAUCUUGAAUGACUCCAAAGACUCUUUUGCUUCAAGCACCCCGGAUUUCUUCAUACAUCAGUUCUUGCUGAAAACAAUCCCUGUCCUACUGUAUUUGCUAGAUUCUUGGUCAUUGUGCAUUUCCGUAUGAGGAUGGAUGCUACUCCCACUUUUACAAAUAAAAACAAAAGAAUAUGGGUGUGAUGCCAUUGAGUUUUGUUUUGUUUAUGCUUGUUUGUUUGAUCUUUUGAUCUGUUUGUGGAUUUGGGUGAUAUAUUAAUGGUAUGUUACCUGGAAAAGAACUUUAGAUCUUAGUGUUAAGUAUUCUAGAAUUCGCAUCAGAUGUUUCAGAUCAAGUAGGUACAAGUGCUUAUAUAAAUUUGUGGUUGAUUAGAGUUAAACAAUGAAAACAAUUUAAUUUUUCUCUAAGUGAUUAAACAUAUUUGAAUUUUCAUAUUAAAUAACUUUCAAUACAUGUAUAUGUAUGCUAUCUUUUUUUUUUCCCGCGAUAGUUUCUUUUGUUUGUGGAUAGGAUUGUAUGUCUUUUUCUUUGUUGAAUAUAUGCAUGUUAUGUUUUCAAGAAAAUAACCCUGUAUCUUGAAGUUUUAUGUUGUACAGUGGGAAUUAAACUUCUUGUGAUUAGCAACUAGGCAGGUCGGAUUUGGAAGAAGAGUUUUGAUAUAAUUUUGAUUUGCAUAGGAUGAUUGAGAUCAUGUGUACAAAGGGAUAUAGGCUGGCCAUUUAUGAUUGUUUUAGCAAAUUGUUGUUAUAAUUAUGUUUGAAGCUGAGGUAUUGAUAUGCUGGCAGUAAUACUAAAACAUUCAAUGCUAAAUGCUUGAUGCUUAUGAAAUUGAGAGUUGAAUUCCUUGUAAUUAUUGAGAUUAGGCAGCAGAGUGAUAAAAUUAUUUGAACAUUUUCAUGCAGGAAAACUAACAUGAAUCUGGUGAAUUAUUCCUGUGAAACAAUUGCUGUAUGAUGUUUCUUUGCAUGACCAUACGUGGAGGAUAAACAUGAUGUGCUUAGAACUUUCCAGAAUCAUACUUUAUGUUCUUAUCUAUUUUGCUUAUCUCUAUUUAUUCUUCAAAUUGAGAAAUCAAUCCUGUGUAUUAUGGAUAAUUAUUUUACACACCUCUUACUGCGGGCAGGAUAAGAUACAUUUUGUAGAAAAGGAGAAAUGAGAGAAGAAGAUGCAAAUUAAUCUUGUAUAGAACACGAACUCCGACAUGCCUAUACAAAUCUGUUUAUUACAUUAGAUGAAAGAAUCGGUAUUGAGUCCAUAGAAAGUAGCAUGUACUUCUAAUUUGAACUACUUAUCCUCUAUUUAGAUGCUAUGUUAUUGAGGUGAUAUGACAUUGUUUUUCAUGCAGCAAUACUCAUAUUUGCUUUUUUCUUCCAAGAGACCUUGUGGUCGUUGGGUUUUACAAGUUUGAAACUAAGAUGUGUUUGUCAAAUGAUCCAUUAUUGAGAUUUCAAAAAUGAGUUGCUAUGAUAUAUAGUCACCUGAUCUCAAUUCUAUAUUAUGUUAAAUUUGACAAAGAUUUUCUUCACAAAAUUUGUCUGGAGGUCUGCAAAUGUUACUCUUCACUCCAGAUUCUGGGAGUUAGACCAGUUUCAGAACUCAAAUUAAUGUGCUUUUUUCUACCAGGAAAUUAUCUCAAGUUCUACAAUGCCAUAAGAAGUGCCUAUCCCGACAUCAAAAUAAUCUCAAACUGUGAUGGGUCUUCUCGUUCUUUGGAUCACCCAGCUGAUUACUAUGAUUAUCAUGUAAACAUCCUGUCAUGAUAGCUUUGUUUUCUUUCUGGUUUGCAGUAUUGUACUUUUGCAUAUUUUCAUCAGUCAGAAAACACAAUGUUAAUCCUCUUUUAUUCUUUGAACUAGGUUUAUACAUCUGCCAGCAACCUGUUUUCUAUGACUCAUAAGUUUGAUUGCACAUCCCGCAGUUGUCCAAAGGUGUGUCGUAUGCCUUUUGACAACAUACUGACUAAAAUAUGUGACAAAUAUUCAUGGGAUUUACUAUUUUUGAGGCUUCUGUGAGCAACGAUGCUGUGACUGGAAAAGAUGCGGGCACAGGAAGUCUUUUAGCUGCACUCGCUGAAGCCGGAUUCCUCAUUGGUCUAAAAAGGAACAGGUUUGUAAUACUUGUUCCAGCAAUCUUAAGUUAUUUGUCAAUGUGCUAUUCAGUGAUCGAGGGUCUGAAAUUUUUAAUGCCUUCCCACUCUCUUUCCCCGCGGAGGGGGGUUGAACAAAUUAAUAAAGAACUCCUUUGAAAUAGUGAGUUCAAACAAUUCCCAGAUCAUCAUUCAUGGUAUUCUGGUUCAAAUUUGAUGCCAUGGCCAAAGUAUUCUUUUUGUGUUUUCAUACUCACGAAAAUUCCAAUUCUUGAGGCGUUUAUCUCCCCAUUUCUGUGGUAUUGUGUAGAUGGCAAGCUAGGCACCACUUUUCUGUGAAUUGCAGUAAUAGGAGGUCCAAUCUCAUUCUAUUCCUCAAUAAUUAAUUCAAAUUCAAGCAUGCAUGGCAAGGGAUAUCAUUUUCUUUUCAGGGUACUGACAUUGAAAGGAACUUUUCUAUGAAGGUGGAAUCCAGAUGCAAUUGUCUUCAACUCAUCAAAGCACUAUGGAACUCCGAGCUACUGGGUGCAAAAAUUCUUCAGAGAGUCAAGUGGAGCAACUCUUCUUGACGCUAAGCUACAGACAAAUUCCUCUACACUUGUUGCAUCUGCAAUUACUUGGCAAAAUUCAAACUUACCUGAAAAUAAAGGUAUGCUAAUACCAGCAUAGUUUGCAGGGAUCGUGCCCUAAACACCAAUUUUAAGUUUUUAUCCCUUUUUUUUUUUUGUCAAUGCUGCAAGUUUGAAUCCUUUUUGCAAUUUAACAAAUAUGGCUUAAUCCAUCGAGUCAACUUUAGUGGUCUUCCCAACAUGACAUGCUGCCGCUGGCUGACGACAAAACACAAACACACGUAAAAUCGGGUUGUAAGAGUUUCUGUUUGAUUUUUUCCAGCCAAGUUCUUACUUUCAGGAAAAUGUAUUUUUCAGAUUGUGAAUUUUGGGAACAGCAAAGUGAAUCUCAAAGUUUCUAUUGAUGGAUUGGGGCUCAGCUCACGAUUGUCUGGAUCAACAAAAACUGUGUUCACUUCUUCUAAUGUAAUGGACGAGAAUUCCUUCGUGGAUCCAAAAAAGGUUUCUGACAUCGUUGUCAUGACCCUCAUGAAUUUUCAAUGACCUCAGAACCUUUCAAUUCCAGUUUAUGUAGCAAAUCUGCUAACUGUCUUGGCUUCUUCACGUAAUGCAGGUGGUGCCAGCCCAAACUAUGCUCGAGAAUGCUGACAAAGACAUUGAUGUUGUGCUCUCUCCAUGUUCUUGAACUUCAUUUGAUUUGGAGUGCAAAAAUCAAUUAAUAUUUUAAUUUUCUAGAAAAUUAGAGUACACAAAAUAAAACUUGAACUUUCUGUUCGAAUUUAAUAUUUCUCUAUCAAGAAAUUUUUAAAAGUAGUUUUUUAAAUUUGUGUUGAAUUUGAAAAUUACUCUUAAGAGGCACUCCACAGUUUUUAAAUACAAGGUUUUUUUCUUUCUAUUUUUUACUUUAAGAAAAAAACAUGAACAAUAUAAUUUUCUCCUUUAUAUACAAGCAUUUUUUAACAAUGUAAAAGAUUAAUUUAUUUCUUAUAUAUAUUUAGUGAUUACUAUUAAUAUAAUUUUUAUUAUAAAUCUAAUAUAAAGAUUUUUUAAGUUAAUAAUAUAAAUCUUUAAUGAUAAUUUUUAAUUUGAAUAAAAUAAAAUUAACAUUCUAUAAUUAGAUAUCACAAAUAUAAAAUAUUAAGAUAAUAAUUAUAAAUUAUGAUUUUGCUUUUGCUUUUUUAUAAAAACUACUUGUAUUCUUGAUUUAUUUUUUUAUUUUUAGAAAAAUACAUUUUUGUUAACAAAAAUGAGCAUGUUUUUUAAAAUUUUCAUUUUCCAUAGAAAACUAAAAAAAAGUUGUUUUCUAUUUCUGAUAACAUCUUAAUCUUUCCAGGCUGCUAUUAUAGUUGUUAAAUCUAAUUUAACUUGGCAGAUUGACUAGGAUAUUAGCUUGUUAAACAUGGCUUGUUUUUUAGAAACUUUGGUUGACUCCGUCACAUCCAAUUCAAAACCAAUUGGGUUAAUAUUUUGUAAAUUAAAAAAAAAAUUUAUUUCGAUGAUAAAAAUAGUUGAUUCUGAUCCAAUGAUUUUGUCGCAAGUGGAUAUUGUAGUGAGCUACCGAGUGAAAAAGAGAUAACAAUGAAAUAGUUUUAUAAUAACUAAAUACUUUAAUUAGUUUUUUAUAAUUUCAGAUUGGAGAGGUUGAUUAUGUAAUAAAAAGAUAGAUAUUACUCUGUAUAUCAUGCCUAGAAUAAAUUGUAUUAUUGUUUGCUUUUAAUAAAAAAAAUGUUUAAUGUGUCUUAUAAAAUAUUUUUCUAAAAUGAUUUUAGUAUCAUUUCUACCCAAACUUUUAAGAAUAAAUUUCAUUAAGAGGUUAUUUAUAUUGAUGAAUGGACACUAAAAUUACCAUCAAAAUUCAGUAUUGAAUAUAUAUAUAUAUAAUUAUUUUUAGGAUAACUUUGAAGGAUAAAUAUAAUUUUUUAUGAUGAAUCCUGGCUGCAGGAAAAAACAAUUAACAGAUUCAGCCAGUUGGAUCUACCAGGGCCAGAUGAGCUUCCUUUUCUGUGGAAUAUUUCAAUUCUUUUUUCGGAAAUUAUUACAUGAUAUUAUCAAACCCACAUUCUCCUCCUAGGUAUGUAUUUGCUGCUGCUGGUGGUCUUCUUCGAUGCUGUUUGGAUAUGCUGCUGCGGUCGUGGUUGAAAUUAAAAUUUAUAAUAUGGUGUUUGGUUAACACCAACCAUAUUUUUUUUAUGUGAAUCCCAGGCCAAAACUAAGGUUGGUUGGACUGCAGUUUUUGAAAAGCAAUUACCCAUUGCUUUUCAUGCGUUUUCUCCUCUCUCUCAUCACUGACACUUUUCCCUUACUUUCCCAACAGUUCCAAAACUUUCCUGUUUCUCACCCAAAUUGUUCACAGCACGGUUAAUUGACAGAUCAAUUUGGCCAUUGAUCUACAAACUCUCAUUUUCCACCUUCCCCAGACUGUUCCCCUCUCUCGUCACUAUGUAACAUGAUCGAAUGUUUUUUUGGGGUAUGGAAACAGAGGUGAAAAAUUUUACAAAACAUAUUUGUUUAUCCAUACAAAACACAAGUUGAGAUUGUAGUUGUAUCAAUGGUAUUACAUAACUAUAUUAGAAGGAUAUCACAAGAUGAUGCAGUUUUUUCUGAGUAUGAUCGCAACCCCAAUUUAAUUUCAGAUGACUUUUUACUUGAUAUUGUUCAGGCUUUGGCCGUUCAAGGCUCACAGAGGCCUUCACGUAUGGAUUUUUGUACUCGAUGGAAUUGCAAAUAGUUUGAUAGAACAAUAAAGGAGUACAUUAAUGUAUAAGGAUUUUUCAUUUUGUUAUGUAAUCAUAAUUACAAAACACCUAUGUUUUGGAAUUAUAUAUAAGUGUCUAAAUAUGUUAUUUUAAUUAAUUCAAAUCAAAUAUAAAACACAAAGCAUAUUAUAACCAGAUACAAGAAAAUAUUUUUUUUAGCUACAAUUUAACCAUAGUUUUACCAAACACAAAAAUGCUUUUUUUCCACCACAAUUUCAACCACAGCUCUUUAACCCAACACAAUAAAUUGUUUUUUUUUAAAACCACAACUUCAAUUACAAUUGUAACGAAACACCAACUUUUUUUUAAAAUCAAUCUCACACAAAAUAUUUUUUAUUAAAUUAUUUUUUUUAAAUCAUAACUAUAAAAAUUACCACAAAAUCAAACAUAUUUUUUUAAUUAUUGGUGAUGAUGGAGGCAGAACCAGCUGCGGAAUGUUGAUAACAUUUUCUCUAUGCUCUCAAGAACUAAUAGAGGUAUCAAUUUCAGGACUCAAUCUUAAUUAUAAUAAUCAGAGGAAGGGUCCCACAAUUAUGGCACACACCACGAGGUAGUUUAUUGGAUGGCGUGGCAGUGAUGUCAUGAACCAAGACGUGACUCGGUGCUGACUCGGACUUGCUUUUUCGAAAACUAAAUUUGGAGGGAAAAAGCGAAGAGAAAGCGGGGAUGUCGGUGGGCUUGAGAGAGAGAGAGAGAGAGAGAGGAAGUCGUUUUGUGAUGAAAGAGAGAGAGAAAGGAGAGCCAAAGAAGAAGAGAAAGAGAGCAAGCGAAGCAGAGGAGAAAGAGCCGCGUCUGGUCAGAAUCAAGUUUCAACUUUCAACUUUCAACUUGCAACAACCCUUUCCGUUUUUUAGGCUUCUUUUGAAAGAAAGGCAUCCAUGAUCCAUCCAUGUUUCCCUGCCCAGGCUGGCGUUCAAGACUUUUUAUUUUUUAUUUUUUAUUAAUAUAAAUAUUUAGAUAGAUAUUUAGACGAUCAUAUAAAUUUUUAAUAAUCUUAAAUUUAUAAACGAUAAAGACAACCUGGACACGAUAAUGAUGGAUAUUUUUUUUGUACAGACAAAUAACUAUAUAAUUAUUAUUUUAUUUCGUGAUAGAAGUCACCGUAACAAUGUAUCUGAUUAAAGUAAAGGUGGAUGUAUUUUUUAGAUUUUGUUUUUUUUACUGAAUUUUGUUAUUUUUUAAAAUAGAACAUCUUCGAUUUUCAGGACUCGGCAGCCUCUGUUAGCUUUUUAUGCAAAGUUCUUGAAUGCGCUGCUGAGUUGCUGUUUUCCACCUUGCUACUUGGCAGAUUGUUACUGGAGGAUAGUUAGCUGCGGCCUCCCUAGGUUUUUUCUAAUGUAAAAAAUAUGUUAUCCGAAGUUCUUCACUUCAAAAUCAAUUCACCGAUCAUGGGCAUAUAAAAGCAAGGAAAAAGCAAGAAUACCAAUUCAAUCAAUGGGUCCAUUGCUUAGUUCCCUCCAUCAUGAUUCUGUAAGAUUUUUCCUUUUAUUUCUAAGAACCAAACAAGCCACAUCUUCACUCAUGCCCUUCCAGGAUUGCAACACAUGUCCGCUAAAGCUACUUUAAUUCAGACCUUUUUAAAAAAAUUGAACAGAUCUGAAUGGAAUGGAGGUCCAAUUGAAUGACACUAUCUUCAAAGUGAACUGCAGGUUCCACGAAGGAACGUAUGCUGGAAGCAAACGGGGUUGACUAUAAGAAACGAAGAGUGGAAGAGUCAUUUGCGCUUCGAUUCCCUUCAUCAAAUCUUGUCGCCUUCAAUGGCCGCUCCCCUGUCUUGCAUAUUGAUGGUGUGUGCUAAGGCGAUUGAAGGUGGUCGCUUGGAUGUUGCAGAUUCACUUUUGGCAGUAAUUCAAUCUCUAGCUUCUAAAGAGGAGAGCAUAUGGAGGAGGAAAGUUGUCAAAUACUUUGCUGAGGCUCUUGUCCGGCGAGCCUAUGGAAUUCGUCCUCCAUUUCCUUUACCCUCGCUACCUUUUCUAUACGAACCAGAGGCAACUUUAUACAAGUUAGCUAGAGUCACCAGUGAACAUGGCAUCGCUGAUUCCUUGAAUUCGGGAUAUAAAAGACUCCACAUUAUUGACUUCUCCAUCGUGUUCCAGUUUUGGCGGUGGAAUUAUUUAAUUGAAGGCCUCAAAAGGCAGUAUGGUGGCCUACAAUCAGUCCUAAUAACCAGUAUCACACUGAAACUGUCAAAACACACUGACUAUCUCCGUGAAAACCGGGAAUGCGCUAAGGGCAGAAAUUUGGAAUUGAGGCAAUUGAUAUGCAAUAGUCCGGAUGAUAUUGUCAAUUGUAUUUCCAAACUCAGAAGGAAAAGUGAGGAUGAGGUGGUGGUUGUGAAUUGGAAUUUUAUACUCCACAAAUUGCUUGCACAAGAUGGGGCAAUGGAGCAAGUUCUUUCAAAAGUGAAGGAUUUGGGAGCGGACAUCAUGGUAAUUGUUGAGCAAGAAGCCAAUCUUAACAGCCCAGAUCUUUCGGAGCGGCUCGAACAAUCAUUCCAAUACUACUCCCCUUUUUUUGAGUCACUGGAGGAAGAUUAUGAUAGCGAUGUGUUAUGGGAGAUGUAUUUCAGGCGACAGAUUGGGAAUGUGGUGGCAUGUGAGGGCGUUGACCGGGUCGAGCGGAUUGAGUCAUUUGCUCAAUGGAAAAAUCGCAUAUGUCAGGCUGGGUUUUGUCCAGUUCCCCAACAGGUAGACAAGUUGAAGAUAGAUUUUGGAUUAAAUCUUGUUGAUCAUCGAAUCGAAGAGAAGGAAGGGCAUAUCCUGCUACUUUGGCACGGGUUUCCGCUAGCUGUAGCCUCAGUUUGGAAGUUCACUGGUCCACCUCAAUUCAGUGGCGGUGAAUAAUCCAAUUCCAUCCUUUCCUUUCUCUUCUCUUGUUAUACUAAUUAUUCAUCAAUAAAUUCGUUGUGUGUAUUUUCACUUUAGGCGACUGGAAAAACAUGUUGACAGGUCUUUACACAAUGCAAGAUACAGUUGAUGACUCAGAAGGGAUGGCGAGCUCCUCUGAGUCUGAGGAUGAUGAAGAAAAUGAUUCUCUAGUUUCCAUAAUGGCAGAUAGAAACUUAUGGUCCACGCAGGUAUCGUUCUUUGUUUCCGAGAUUGAAACAAAUUUCUUAUUUUUUUUAGUUUAAUAUGGAUGUUUGGUCAGCUUGCGUGUACCUCAACUAAUUUUACAAGCUCUGAAGUUAAUGAUCAUGUAAACCUCCAAUAACAAUCAUAUAAGCAAUUACAUGGCUCGAAUCUGAAACCACAGAAUAAACAAAUCUUUUAAUCUUAAAUAUUUACCACUGUACCACAUCUAGAUAGUUAAAUUUCCUAGUUUUAUCUUUAUGCCAUGGGGAGAUUGCAACAACUUUAAAUUCUUUAGACAAAUUAGAAACGUACAAUAUAAUUCUUGCUUUGAUAAAAAGGUACAAUAUACUUCUUUUUUAUAACUUUAUGCCAUUAUUGAUGUCGUUGAUCUCACAGGGCUCUUCAAUGAAGCGAAUAGCUGCUUCAGCUAAGCUAUAUGACAUAUUGGAAUAUAUAUGUCAUCUACAUAGGUUACCACUGGCAGUGACAUGGAUUUCCUAUGGCCAAGAUGGUAAUACAAAUUCAAAGGGAAAACGUAUUCUAUGUAUUGAUGAUAGCGCUUGCUAUGUAAAUCAUUGGAAAAUGGAUAGAUUUGUGGAUGAAUAUGCACGAUAUCGUCUCGAGGAAGGACAGGGUAUCGCCGGAAAAGCACUUCAAUCUAAUAUUCAUAUCCAGCAUGACAUUUCCCUGCUUGAUCCAGCUGAAUUCCUUGAUGAAGAUUACGGACCUAGCUGGUGCCACGAAGACUAUCAUGCUGCUUUUGCUAUAAGGCUAACAAGUACCCACCCUUGCAAGGAUGAUUACGUACUGGAAUUUCUUCUCCCUAUAUUCAGAAUGAAAGAUACUUCAGAACUAGUACUUUUGAUAAAUAAGGUCUUGCGUACAUUGCAGAGGAAAUGUUUAAAGAUGUGGGAAGUUAGUGUCAGAGAAGUACAUGAGGCGAGCGGCUCUGAAGUUAGAUUGGAUGAUGAAAGAAUGCCAAACAUCCCACAUGAAGAUGGUGUUUUAGAAGGAAACGAAUUCAUGGCAGUGAACCCAACCAGCAAUCAAGCAGAAGAAACACGCGAGCCUCUUGAACAGGUGCUCUUCUAUACUGAAUUCAUGUUAUUUUUUUCUUCAAGAAUGAGUUGAUUGAUAUUUAUUUUUUAUAAUAAUUUUUUAUUUAUUAUAUUUGAUUCUUAUUUUUAUUUAAUUUUUUAAUUUAUAAGAUCAAUUUCUUAUUAUUUUAAUAAAUUUAAAAUAAAUAAAAUAUUAAUAAGUUAUUUUCCAGUUUUUUUUCAUAACAUAGCCAAAUAUCAAAAAAUAUUUUUUAACUUAUUUUUUAUAAUAUUAUCAAAUAUCUAAAAAUAAUUUACUUUUUAAAAAUUCAUUUUAAAAAAAAUUACAUAUCAGCAAACAAACAGAACCUAUAUGUUGUUUGCUAUAAGAAAUUCUAGCCAGCUCUAAUACCUAAAUAAUUGGAUUCUAGGUUAUAUAGGUCAAAAAUACCAAAUUAACUCAUUUUCAUUUAAAAACAUUAAAAAAAACUUUUUAAUGAGUUCAAAAUUAAAAGUCAAACUAAAUAAAAAAAAUCUACAUGUGAUUCGCUACAAGAAAUUCUAGACAACAGAAUUGGGUUCAAGGUUAUUGAGACCAAGAAACUCUAAAUCAUCUGCCUUGUCAGAUAGACAGAAAAGACCCUCUGUUUUGGAUGGACACCCAUCAUGUGUCCAAUCACUGCCUUCUAUGUGGCAGAUUUCCUGCCGCCGAUUGCGCAAGGGGUGGAAUAAUUAUUGUUCAGUAGAUAAAUUACAUUUGAUAAUUCGAAUAUAAUAAAAUCCAUUUUGCCUCCGUUUUGCUUGUAUGUUCAACUAUUGAAGAAGACACAAUCUGCCAUUAUUAUUGACUGGAGUUGGCCUUCAUGCUGCCAAUAUCCUACUUCCCUAUCUCUUGACAGGACGUCCAAGAACAAUCUGCUAUACCUGCACCCGCUCUGAAUGGUGAGAAUGCAUCGCUUAGUGUAGAUGGUGGCUUCCAGAGUACUAAUAAACGAAGAAAGAUAUCAGCUGUGUGGGAUGGGUUCGUUAAGCAUACGGCAGAAAACGGGGAAGAAUGGGCCACGUGUAAUUAUUGUAAGAAGGAGUAUAGAGCAGAAAGCAAAAGAGGAACUUCAAAUUUGCACAAGCACUUAAAAAAUUGUUCGCCAAGCAGACAAGACGAAGCAGAGCAGCAAAUUUUGGUUGGGUCAGGUGACUUGAGUACAAGCGUCAUCCAAAGGAAUUUUGUCAUAGAUCAAGAAAGAAGUCGUCUAGACAUUGCAACAAUGAUUAUUAAGCAUGGAUAUCCCUUGGAUAUGGUUCAACAUGAGUUUUUUGAAAUUUUUGUGAAGAAUUUGCAGCCGGUGUUUAAACUUUAUUCAAGAGACGUAGUUGAAGCUGAUGUCCUUUCUAUUUGCAGACAAGAGAAGGAGAAACUCAUCAGUUUUUUUGAUAAUCUCUCUUGUCUCUUGAGUUUAACACUUGAAUUGCGGUCAUCUAAUGACAACAUGAUGACGUACUGUUGCUUCACUGUGCACUUCAUUGACGAUGGAUGGCAGCUGAAGAAGAAGAUUCUUGCUUUCAGGAACUUACGGUACAACUAUGACAUGGGGACUGUACAUGAAGUCUUUAAUAGUGUGCUUACAGAGUGGAGCAUCAACAAGAACGUUCGCUUCAUAUUCCUGGAUGUAACUCCUCCAAAGGAUCACACGAUUGGAGAAUUAAGAAGUAAGGUUUCUGAUCAAGCCCCACCUAUCCAUGGACAUCUUUUCUGUGUUCCUAGUUAUGCCCAAAUUCUCAGUCUCCUUGCUCAAGAUGGAUUUUCUGAGACAAGGAGUGUGCUUUAUAAGAUAAGAGAAUGUAUAGAGUACGUCAAAGGAAGCUCACUUGUAAGGCAGAAGUUCCUGGAGGCAAUUAAUAAUGGGAGUUUGCAGGACAGGGAAAUGCCUACUCUAGAUGUUCCCGCGAGAUGGGACACCACCUUUCUUAUGCUGGAGAGUUCAUUGGAAUUUAGAACAGCUUUUAAUCACCUAGAGCAACUCGAUGAUGAUUUCAAAGUGAAUCCAUCUGCGGAAGAAUGGAACAAAGCAACAGUCGUAUUUGAGUGCUUGAAGGAGUUCUGCAAGUCAACAUGCAAUUUUCCAACAAGCAGAGAGGAUUAUUUCCUUAAUGUUGGUGAUGUUUAUAAGAAUUUGCUUAAGUGGGAACAGAGUGAUUAUGUAUAUGUUCGCGCUAUGGCAAAUAGAAUGAAGGGAAAAUUUGACGAGUAUUGGGGAGAAGCUAGCUUGGCUUUGGGAAUCUCAGUAGUUCUUAACCCAAGCUAUAAAUUGGACAUUUUUGAGUACUACCAGCAGAUAUACGGCAGUGAUGCUGACUUGCGCUACUACCAGAAAUUCCUUGACAAUCUUAUAUGUGAAUACAAUAAAUAUGCAAAGGACUUCCGCAGUCAGGGACCAUCUUCUUCUGCCAUGGCGGACGUGAGUCGUUGUACAUCAUCUUAUAUUAGUUUCAAAGAGUGGCGCAAGGGUAAGUAUGAACGCAACAUGGUGCACUCACAAUGGAAUGAGCUUGAUCAGUAUCUACAACUGCCGCCACCAGAGAACUUGGAUAAGGAUGGUAACGUAUUAGCUUGGUGGCAAGACAAUGCUCAAAAUUUUCCAAUACUGGGAAAAAUGGCUCGUGAUUUUUUAGCAAUUCCAGUAUCAACUAUCAUUUCCAAGUCAUCAGAGGUUAUGAAGAUGGCAUCAGUCCAUGAUGGUGUUCGUCCUGAGAUAGCUGAGGAUUUGAUAUGUGGAAAGGAUUGGUUGGACAGCCCAAACUGAAAGUAAGUUUUCCUUUUCUUUUUGCUUGAUUUAAGUGUGAUGCUUUUAUAUCUCUGCUAUCUGUUUAUUUAUUUCUUCUUCUUCUUUUUUGCUUCAGCAAUUGAUCCAUGUUUGGAUCCUCACUGGUAGUUGCAAGUACUGUGAAAUAAGUCUGUCCCAGGUAAACACUGGCCUUCCUGAUUCCUAUUAUGUUUCUAAAUUAUUACCUGUGAUUAAAAUUAUUAAAAAAAUUCUUCAAAAACAGUUUAAUAUUGAAAUUAAAAUAAUAAUAAUUAAAGUACAAUUUGAUCUAAAUUCCCAGAUAAUUUUAACAAUGUAGCCAAAUUGAAAAGAGAAAAACAAAGGACCAUUUGAAAACGUUUCGAAACUUGUAUUAAGGUUUUCCUUUCAGUCUUUUUCUCUGGGUGAGAGCAAACCGAGGUAGAGCUCACUUUCCUUAUCCAAAAGAACCACACAGAAAUGCCACAGGCAACGUAAACUAGGAAACCCUCAAAGCCAAAAAGAUUGCAGAUUUCCUUUCAAUCAAAACGAAAAUGCCCCUCCUUCUCUCCAAUCCUCUCACCUCGCUCUCUUCACUUCCCCCCUUUUCAUCUCCAUCUUUGGCCUUCAUUGCAACACCAGGUACCCACUUCUUUAGAUUUGUCUCGUGUUUGCAGUUUUUGCUAAUAUGGGCUGUAUCGACGGUGAAUUUUAUGAUUUCUGCUUUUCAGCACUUGUUAGUAUAAGCUUAUUUGGUUUCACUUCAUGCUCGCUUGGCCGUUUCAUCAAACACUUAUCACUUGCUUCCUAAGUUCAACCAGUUCUUGGAUGCUCGUGCUUUCUAUAUUAUUUCUAGGAAGACUGGUCUUUUCUCUGUUAUAACCACCGAUUCAAUGUGGGUUUUGCUGAAAAUUCCUAAAUAUUUGAUCUUCUCUUGGAUUUAGUAUUAAAGGCUCAUAUCUGAAUUUUGUGCUCGUGCUUUCUAUAUUAGUUACUGUGAAGUUUGUUUAUUUUGCUGCUGUGAACCAAUAAUCGAAUCUGGGCUGUGCUUAAAAUUACGAAAUAUUUCAUCUUUCACUUUAAUUUAGUCUUCAAGACCCAUAUCUGAAUUUUCAAUGACCUCAGAACCUUUCAAUUCCAGUUUAUGUGGCAAAUCUGCAAACUGCUUUGGCUUCUUCACGGUAUGCAGGUGGUGCCAGCCCAAACUAUGCUCGAGAAUGCUGACAAAGAUAUUGAUGUUGUACUCUCUCCAUAUUCUUUAACUUCAUUUGAUUUGUUAACAGAAUCAAACAAUAUCAGGAUGCCACAAACAGAUUCUUUCUCUAGAUCAUCAAUUUAGAAAAAUAAAUUAAUACAUGAUGUGUAAUUAUAGGAAACAAUCAAAAUAAUGUUAUCUGUGGCUGGCUGGUGUCUUUGCCUGUAUUUAUGUUAAUUUUCGUUGGCUAAUCUCACCUUGUAAACCUGUUGUGUGAAGAAUCUUUCAUCCAUAAGGUACCAUAUUUGAUGUUACCCUACCAAUGGUGAAAGAAGGGCCUGCCUCUAAGCUUGACAGUGGAUGGAAUAGGCUGUUUAAAAAUAAAUUAAUAUUUUAAUUUUCAAGAAAAUUGGAGUACAAAAAAGAAAACUUGAACUUUCUGUUCGAAUGUAAUAUUUCUCUUUCUAGAAAUUUUUAAAAGUAGUUUUUUAAAUUUGUGUUGAAUUUGAAAAAUACUUUUAAGAGGUACUCCAUAGUUUUUAAAUACAAGGUUUUUUUCUUUCUAUUUUUUACUUUAAGAAAAAAACAUGAACAAUAUAAUUUUUUAACAAUGUAAAAGAUUAAUUUAUUUCUUAUAUAUAUUUAGUAUUUAGUUCUUGAGAGCAUAAAAAAAAUGUUUAAUGUGUCUUAGAAAAUAUUUUUCAAAAAUGAUUUUAGUAUCAUUUCUACGCCAACUUUUAAAAAUAAAUUUUAUUAAGAGGUUAUCUAUAUUUAUGAAUGGAUAAUAAAAUUACUAUCAAAAUUCAGUAUUGAAUAUGUAUACAUAUAUAUAAUUAUUUUUAGAUUAACUUUUAAGGAUAAAUAUAAUUUUUAUGAUGAAUCCUGGCUGGAAAAAAUUCUGGCUGCAGGAAAAAACAAUUAACAGAUUCAGCCAAAUGGGUCUACCUGGGCCAAAUGAGCUUCCUUUCUGUGGAAUAUUUCAAUUCUUUUUUUGGGAAUUAUUACAUGAUAUUAUCAAACCCACAUUCUCCUCCUAGGUAUGUAUUUGCUGCGGCUGCUGGUCUUCUUCUACUGGUUGGCGGUGAUGGAGGCAGAACCAGCUGCGGAAUGUUGAAAACAUUUUCUUUAAGCUCUCAAGAACUAACAGAGGCUACCAAUUUCAGGACUCAAUCUUGAUUAUAAUAAUCAGAGGAAGGGUCCCACAAUUACGGCACACACCACGAUGUAGUUUAUUGGAUGACGUGGGAGUGAUGUCAUGAACCAAGACGUGACUCGGUGCUGACUCGGACUUGCUUUUUUGAAAACUAAAUUUGGAGGGAAAAAGCGAAGAGAAAGCGGGGAUGUCUGUGGGCUUGAGAGAGAGAGAGAGAGAGAGAGAGAGAGAGAGAGAAAGGAGAGCCAAAGAAGAAGAGAAAGAGAGCAAGCGAAGCAGAGGAGAAAGAGCCGCGUCUGGUCAGAUUCAAGUUUCAACAACCCUUUCCGUUUUUGAGGCUUCUUUUGAAAGAAAGGCAUCCAUCCAUGUUUCCCCUGCCCUUGGGCUGGCGCGUUCUUGACAUUUUUUCUUUAUUAUUAAUAUGAAUAUUUUAAUUAAUUUACGUAUAUUUUAAUUAAUUUUAUAAAUUUUAAAAUUAAUAAUUAUAUAAACCUUUAAUAAUGGUAAAAUUUAUAUGCGUUCUAGGUAACUUGGACAUCUGGAUAGUAGAUAUAUUUUGUACGGAUAAAUAACUAUAUAAUUAUUAUUUUAUUUUAUUUCGUGAUAGAAGUCACCAUCAAUGUUGUUAAAAUCAUGAUUUUGAUAUGGCACGGAACAUACAAACCAAACUCGGAUCGUAAAAUUAUAAGGAAUUUUAAAAUACAUUAAAAAAAUUUAUGUUUCAAAUAAAAAUUUAUGGGUGAAUAAUAGUUAUCCUACACCUUUUAAUUUUUGUUACUUUAUAAAGUUUAAUAGCAUGGUUUUUCUGUAAAAUUAUUAUUUUUAAUUUUAUAAGAAAAAAUAAACUAUAAAAAAGUCAAGUUUAAUUAAAAAAAAAACACCCCACUAAAUUUAUAAACAAGAAUAACCUGAGUUAUUUGACAAACUAGCAAAUCACGCUAGCUUAAUAGAAAAAAAAAUACAAAUUUAACUUUCCAACAAUAUUAAUAUUAAAAAAAACAAAAGUAAUUUAAAAAAAAAAAGAAAAAAAACCUAUUUUUCAACUAAAAACAGAAAACUCAACGUGGAAAGUAGCAAUCCAUGUGAGAAGAAAGAACCACGGUUACCAAGUCAAGAAGAAAGAGCGCAGAAAGUUCAUUCAAGGUAAAAAAGAAACUAAUACAAAGGACAACAAACCUGACUUUUCCAGAAAUUAUUUACUUUUUCAUUUAAAGUUAGCCUUUACGUGGCUUUAUUCAAGCCUGCCACGCAAGGAAAGUAGGAAAGCAUGAAACUUUUACCCUAGUACGGAAAAAAGCAUUUUCCGCAUAAAAUUAUUAAAUCGCGGUGAAAUCAUGAUUUUAUAUGAUUUUAUUUGAUUUUAAUGAUUUUAUCCGAUUCUGACUUGAUUUUAUUCAUUUUCAAAUUUUACAAGCAAUUUAGUACAUAAAGUCUAUAAUAAUUCGUAAAAAUAUAUGAUUUUACAAGUUAAAUCGCAAUUUUAACAACCUUAAUCACCAUAACAAUGUACCUGAUUAAAGUAAAGGUGGAUGUAUUUUUUAGAUUUUGUUUACUGAAUUUUGUUAUUUUUUAAAAUAGAACAUCUUCGAUUUUCAGGACUGGGUAACCUCUGUUAGCUUUUUAUGCAAAGUUCUUGAAUGCGCUGCUGAGUUACUGGUUGAUAGUUAGCCGCGGCCUCCCUAGGUUUUUUCUAACGUAAAAAAUAUGUUAUCACUAAAAAAUAGUUAGCCGCGGUCCAUUGCUUAGGAGUUAGGUCCCUCCAUCAUCAUGAUUCUGUAAGAUUUUUCCAUUGAUUUCUAAGAACCAAACAAACCAAGACUCUACACACGUUGUCCACUAAAAGCUACUUUAAUUCAGACCUUUUAAAAAAAUUGAACAGAUCUGAAUGGAAUGGAGGUCCAAUUGAAUGACACUAUCUUCAAAGUGAACUGCAGGUUCCACAAAGGAACGUAUGCUGGAAGCAAACGGGGUUGACUAUAAGAAACGAAGAGUGAAAGAGUCAUUUGCUAGUUUGAUCAACAGAUUCCGUUGAUCAAAAUCUGUUGCCUUCGAUGGACUUUCUUCUCUUUUCCAGAUUGGUGGAGUGUGCUCAGGCGAUUGAAGGUGGUAACUUGGAUGUUGCAGAUUCACUUUUGGCAGAAAUUCAAUCUCUAGCUCCUAAAGAAGAGAGCACAUGGAAGAGGAAAGUUGUCAAAUACUUUGCUGAGGCUCUUGUCCGGCGAGCCUAUGGAAUUCGUCCUCCAUUUCCUUUACCCUCGCUACCUUUUCUAUACGAACCAGAGGCAACUUUAUACAAGUUUUCUAAAAUCGCCAGUAAACAUGCCAUUGCCGAUGCCUUGAAUUCGGGAUAUAAACGACUCCACAUUAUUGACUUCUCCAUCGUGUUCGAUUCUUGGCAGUGGAAGUCCUUAAUUGGUGACCUCGAAAGGCAGUAUGGUGGCCUACAAUCAGUCCUGAUAACCAGUAUCACACCGAAACUGUCAAAACACUCUGACUAUCUCCGUGAAAACCGGGAAUGGGCUAAGGGCAGAAAUUGGGAAUUGAGGCAAUUGAUAUGCAAUAGUCCGGAUGAUAUUGUCAAUUGUAUUUCCAAACUCAGAAGGAAAAGGAAGGAUGAGAUGGUGGUUGUGAAUUGGAAUUUUAUACUCCACAAAUUGCUUGCACAAGACGGGGCAAUGGAGCAAGUGCUUUCAAAAGUGAAGGAUUUGGGAGCGGACAUCAUGGUAAUUGUUGAGCAAGAAGCCAAUCUUAACAGUCCUGAUCUUUCGGAGAGGAUCGAACAAUCAUUCCAAUACUACUGCACUACUUUUGAGUCACGGCAGACACCGUCUCAGACCCCUGUGUUACGGGAGAUGUAUUUCAGGCGACAGAUUGGGAAUGUGUUGGCAUGUGAGGGCGUUGACCGGGUCGAGCGGAUUGAGUCAUUUGCUCAAUGGCAAAAUCGCCCAUCUCUGGCUGGGUUCUGUCCAGUUCCCCAAAAGGCAGACGAGUUUAAGGAAGAUUUUCAACACUGUUUAGAAGAGGAAUAUGGUGAAGACUAUUUAGAAGCAUAUGGAAUCGAAGAGAAGGAAGGGCAUAAUAUCCUUCUAAGUUGGCACGGUUUUCCGCUGGCUGUAGCCUCAGUUUGGAAGGUCACUGAUCCACCUCAAUUCAGUGGCGGUGAAUAAUCCAAUUCCAUCCUUUCCCUUCUCUUCUCUUGUUAUACUAAUUAUCAAGCAAUAAAUUCGUUGUGUGUAUUUUCACUUUAGGCUACUGGAAAAACUUGUUGACAGGUCGUUACACAAUGCAAGAUACAGUUGAUGACUCAGAAGGGAUGGCGAGCUCCUCUGAGUCUGAGGAUGAUGAAGAAAAUGAAUCUCUAGUUUGCAGAAUGGCAGAUAGAAACUUGUGGUCCACGCAGGUAUCGCUCUUUGUUUCCGAGAUUUAACAAAUUUGCUAGUUUUAUCUUUAUGGCAUGGGGAGAUUGCAACAACUUCAAAUUCGUUAGACAUAAAUUAGAAACUUACAAUAUAAUUCUGCUUUGAUAAAAGGUUAAAAAAGUCAAUAUAAUUCUGCUUGUGAUUUGCUUUUUUAUCUUUGUGCGAUUAUUGGUGUCGUUGAUCUCACAGGGCUCUUCAAUGAAUCGAAUAGCUGCUUCAGCAAAGCUAUAUGACAUAUUGGAAUACAUAUGUCAUCUACAUAGGUUACCACUGGCUGUGACAUGGAUUUUCUGUAACAGAGGAGGGAAUACUGAUUCAAAGGGAAAACGUAUUCUAUGUAUUGAUGAUAGCGCUCGCUAUGUAAAUCAUUGGCAAAUGGAUGCCUUUGUGGAUCAAUAUGCACGACGUCGUCUCGAGAAAGGACAAGGUAUCGCCGGAAAAGCACUUCAAUCUAAUAUUCAUAUCGAGCAACACAUUUCCGUGCUUCAUCGAGAUGAAUUCCUUUAUGAAGAUUACGGACCUAGCUGGUGCCCCGAAGCCUAUCAUGCUGCUUUUGCUAUAAGGCUAACAAGUACCCACCCUUGCAUGGAUGAUUGCGUAUUGGAAUUUCUUCUCCCUAGAUUCAGAAUGAAAGAUACUUCAGAACUAGUACUUUUGAUAAAUGAGGUCUUGCGUACAUUGCAGAGGAAAUGUUUAAAGAUGUGGGAAGUUAGUGUCAGAGAAGUAAAUGAGGCGAGCGGCUCUGAAGUUAGAUUGGAUGAUGAAAGAAUGCCAAACAUCCCACAUGAAGAUGGUGUUUUAGAAGGAAACGAAUUCAUGACAGUGAACCCAACCAGCAAUCAAGCAGAAGAAACACGCGAGCCUCUUGAACAGGUGCUCUUCUAUACUGAAUUCAUGUCAUUUUUCUCUUGAAGAAUGAGUUUUAAUUUAGAAGAUUAGUUUUUUAUUAUUUUGAUAAAUUUAAAAUAAAAUAAAAUAUUAAUAAAUUAUUUUACGGUUUUUUUAUGAUACAGCUAAAUAUUAAAAAAUAUUUUUCAAUUUAUUUUUUAUAAUACUAUAAAAUAUUUGAAAAUAAUUUUUUAAAAAAAAAUUCAUUUUUUUUUUUAAAAAACUUAUAUUUCAGCGAACAAACAAGCCUACGCGUUGUUUGCUAAAUCAUCUGCCUUGUCACAAAAAAGACUCUCUGUUUUGGAUGGACACCCAUCAUGUGUCCAAUGACAGCCUUCUAUGUGGCAGAUUUCCUUCCGCAGAUUGCGCAAGGGGUGGAAUAAUUAUUUUUCAGUAGAUAAAUUACAUUUGAUAAUUCGAAUAUAAUAAAAUCCAUUUUGCCUCUGUUUAGCUUGCAUGUUCAACUAUUGAAGAAGACACAAUCUGCCAAAUUAUUGACUGGAAUUGGCCUUCAUGUUGCCAAUAUCCUACUUCCCUAUCUCUUGACAGGACGUCCAAGAACAAUCUGCUAUACCUGCAAUGAUGAUUAAGCAUGGAUAUCCCUUGACUAUGGUUCAACUUGAGUUUUUUGUGAAGAAUUUUCAGCCAGUGUUUAAACUUUAUUCAAAAGACGUCGUUGAAGCUGAUGUCCUUGCUAUUUGCAGACAAGAGAAGGAGAAACUCAUCAAUUUUUUUGAUAAGCUCUCUUGUCUCUUGAGUUUAACACUUGAAUUGUGGUCAUCUACUGACAAAAUGAAGACCUACUGCUGCUUCACCGUGCACUUCUGUCACGACCCGAAUCCCGGGUCCAUGACCGGCAACGCAGGAGCGGUGGCGGAAGGACACCCCUCCCGCGCUAAGCCUCAUAACGGACAUAUCAAAAGAAUAAUUUAUUCAAAAAUACGCAGCAUUUCAUAAUCUUCAGAAAUAUUAUAUCCUUCAAAACUGAUGAAACCAGAAGAUAGUUUAAAACUCCUCAUCAGUAAUUAAAACAAAAACAAUAAUCCAUAAUACUCAUUACAUUGUCAAAAAUCCAAACUUAAUCAAAACAAAGUAAUAGUGGAGCGCCUAAGACAUCGAAUCAAACAGCCUUGAAAGAUAAGCAAGGCAUACCGACUCAAAACUGAAGAAGCAGGAACACUCAACAAGGUUCACCUGCUAUCAGAAACUAAGAACCUGAAAUAAUAUUAAGAAUGAGGGGUGAGUUCAACCAACUCAGUGAGGGAAUAAUAAUUAAUAUACAUUUUAGAUAUUCUUGAUAUUUAUAGUUCGCAAGAUCAUUUAUCUUGAUAUACAUAUACAUAUACAUACUAAACUUAUCAUAUACAUAUCAUAUACAUACUAAACGUAUCAUCAUAACGUAGUGGACUAUAUGUCAGAGAUCAGAUGACACCCGAAGGUGACCAGACCAGAUGACACCCGAAGGUGACCACUGUGGGAUGAUCAGUCGCCACAGGCUGAUGCCUCUCUCACCAGCUAGGUAUACAUACAGAAUACUAUGUGCACAUAGGCUAACUACUCUCCGUUAGCAUGGAGUUACUGACAAGUCCCAUAUCAAGGCAUAAUAGAUAUUCACAUAAUCAUCAAAGAAACGUAUAUCAUAUCAAAUAGAAUUUACUUUGACAGAUUGCGAGUGCAAAUUCAAGAAUAAAUGAGUACUCGGAAAAUAAGCAACAUAUAUAAUUAUUCAAGAAAUUAACGAGUUGUACUCAUUGUAUAAUCAACAUACAUAUUUACUUAUCAUAUAUGCAUAUUAAAGAUUAUUCCACUCACCCGGAAAAUAUAGAACUAAAGGAAUGUCAGACGAAAGACCCGAAAAUCCUAUUGAGGAUUGUUAGGAGAACCUACAACAAUAUGAAAAUAUACUCAAAAGCAACUCAACAAGAGAUCCCAAUGCAUAAAAUAAAACCAGGUUUAUUCUCCUAAGUUUAUGGACUAAAACGACAAUUUUCCAAAACAGGGACCAAAACGUAAUUUUACCAAAAUUGGACCAAUCUGGAAAAUACAUAACCAUACUGAAUUUUCACCCAUAAACCAUCCUUAAUUCUGUCUAGAACGAACCAGGGACCGAUCUGAAAUUUUCAUAAAAUUCAGGGACUAAAAUGUAAAUUCCCGAAAUUGAGGGACCAAACUGAAAAUAUUCAAAAUCAAUUAUCAAACUGCGAUUCAUCAUCCUUAACCUCAUAAUAACACUGUCCAGAAUCUCAAAUACAAUUAGGGGUCAAAUUAUAAUUUUCCCAAAGUUUAGGGACUAAACUGAAAUUUCACAAAUUGAGGGACCAAAUUGAAUUUUCGUUAUCUUCAACCUCAAACCCAGAAUUUUACAGAUUACCUACUGUCAUCUCCUGAUUUCUAACACAAUUUCAAAAAUCAUAACUCAAAAUCAUCAUCUUUACCCUCAAUCUCUCACAAUCAACUAAUUAACCAAUUACCCACAACAAUCAACCCAUAACCUUCCAAUUAAUUCAUCAAUCAAACUCAAAACACAAUAUUCAAAACCCUAACAUUUAUCAAAACAGAAAUUAAGGCUUAAAGAACACACAUUUAUACAUAAUCUUACCUUUAAACUUAUUUCCUCCAACUCCUUUCCUUUUUCCCUUAUUUUCCCCUCUUUUCUCUUCUUCUUCUUUCUCCCUUCUCUCUCACGGUUUGCUCUCUCAAAUAUUCAGAUAUCUUUUUUUUUUUUUUCUCUUUAUACUUAUCAUCUCUUUAUACAAUUACUCCAAUACCCUUCAUUUAAUUAUACCAAUUUUUAGCCUUCAAGGGCUUUAUUGCCUUUUACCUACUCAUUAAAUUUCAAAACAUCACAAUCUCCCCACCUUAUAAAAGUUUCGUCCUCGAAACUUAAACUUUAAGAAAAAGUCUUACCAUCAAGUUCAAACAAGAAUGGAUACUUGUUGAGCAUUUCCUCCUCAAGCUCCCAGGUCGCUUCUUCACGUGGGUGUCCGCUCCACACAACCUUAACUGAUGUGAUAUCUUUCGACCGAAGUUUUCUAACUUGUCGAUCCACUAUUUUUAUUGGUUGAACUUCAUAUGUCAUAUCUUUCCUCAGCUCAAUCGGUUGAACUUCUAGCACAUGAGAUGGAUCAGACAAAUACUUCCUCAACAUCGAAACAUGGAACACCGGAUGUAUAGAGGAGAGAUUAGGUGGCAAGGCAAGCCGAUAUGCCACUACCCCUACUCUUUCCAAGAUCUCAAAGGGCCCUAUAAACUUAGGACUCAACUUUCCUUUCUUCCCAAACCUGAAUAUCCCUUUAGUCGGGGAGACUUUUAGGAACACGUUGUCACCCACUGAAAAUUCUAGAUUACGCCUUCUCUUAUCUGCAUAAUUCUUUUGCCUACUCUGAGCUGUUAGAAGCUUAUCUCGGAUCACCUUAAUCUUAUCCGAAGUAAUCUGUAUUAACUCGGGACCCAUUAAUCUCCUCUCACCAACCUCAUACCAACAUACAGGUGAUCUACACUUCCGGCCAUACAAGGCCUCAUAUGGGGCCAUAUCAAUGCUCGCUUGAUAACUAUUAUUAUAUGCAAACUCCACCAAAGAUAAGUACUUGCUCCAUCCGACACCAAAGUCAAUCACACAAGCUCUUAACAUAUCCUCCAAAAUUUGUAUAGUCCUCUCAGAUUGUCCAUCUGUCUGAGGAUGAAAGGCAAUACUUAACUGAAUGUUAGUCCCCAAAGCUUCCUGAAACUUCACCCAAAACCGAGAAGUGAAUUGUGGACCUCUGUCGGACACAAUUGAGAUCGGUACACCAUGCAACCUUACGAUCUCGUUAACAUAGAUUUCUGCCAGUUUUGCAAACCCAUAUGUCACCUUUACUGGCAAGAAAUGAGCUGACUUGGUUAAACGAUCAACUAUUACCCAAACCAAAUCAUAACCCUCUUGACUCCGAGGCAAACCUGACACAAAAUCCAUAGUGAUCCUCUCCCAUUUCCAUUCAGGAAUUAACAAUGGCUGCAAAAGCCCUGGUGGUUUCUGAUGCUCACCUUUAACCUUCUGACAGGUCAAGCAUCGAGAUACAAAUUCAGCAAUGUCCCUCUUCAUACCAUUCCACCAAUAACACUCUUUCAAGUCUCUAUACAUCUUGUUAGAACCAGGAUGUAUAGUAUAGGCAGUUUGAUGUGCUUCCGUCAUCACAUCUCUUUUCAAAUCAUCCACCUCAGACACACAUAACCUGGAACCAAAUCUCAACACACCAUCUUCAUGGAUAACAAAACCCGGAGCUCUCCCUAACUCCAACUCAUCUCGAAUCUUGCAAAGUCGCUCAUCCUUCAUUUGAGCUCCUUUAAUCCGGUCUACCAAGUCUGACUUAGCCUGGAAGUGAGCCAACAAUGCUCCCGAUUCACAAAUCUCAAAACUGACCCUCUCAUCCAACAAUCCGUGUAACUCUUUAAUCAAGGGUCUCCUCACCUCCUGAAUAUGAGCCAAACUACCCAUAGAUUUUCUGCUUAAGGCAUCGGCAACAACAUUUGCCUUGCCCGGGUGAUACUGAAUCGUGCAAUCAUAAUCACUUAAUAGUUCCAUCCACAUUCUUUGUCUCAAAUUCAGAUCCUUCUGCUGGAAGAUAUAUUGAAGACUCUUAUGAUCUGAAAAUAUCUCACAUGUCUCCCCAUACAAGUAGUGUCUCCAAAUCUUAAGGGCAAACACUACCGCAGCCAUCUCCAAAUCAUGUGUGGGGUAAUUUUGCUCGUGCUUCUUCAACUUUCUCGAGGCAUAAGCAAUCACAUUACCAUUCUGCAUCAAAACACAACCCAAACCAAUCCUGGAUGCAUCACAGUACACGGUAAAACCACCAGACCCUGAAGGUACUGUCAAAAUUGGAGCCGUAAUUAACCUUUCCUUCAACUCCAGGAAACUCUUCUCACAUUCUUCUGACCAUUGAAACUUGACACUUUUCUGUGUCAACUUCGUCAAUGGAGCAGCGAUUCGGGAAAAAUUCUCCAUGAAUCUCCUGUAGUAUCUUGCUAAACCCAGGAAACUCCUAAUCUCAGAUACUGUAACUGGUCUAGGCCACUGCUUAACUGCCUCCACUUUCUGUGGAUCAACCUCUAUCCCAUUUUUGGACACCACAUGUCCCAAAAACCCAACACUCUCUAACCAAAACUCACUCUUCGAGAACUUUCCAUACAACUGAUGAUCUCUUAGAGUUUGAAGCACCAAUCUCAAAUGCUCUUCAUGUUCCUCUUUACUUCUCGAAUACACCAAGAUGUCAUCAAUGAACACAAUAACAAACUUAUCAAUAAACGGCCUAAAAACCAUGUUCAUCAUGUCCAUAAAAGCUGCAGGUGCAUUCGUUAACCCAAAAGACAACACUAGGAACUUGUAAUGCCCAUAACGAGUCCUAAAGGCAGUUUUAGGAAUAUCCUCAUUUCUAAUCCUCAACUGGUGAUACCCCGAUCGCAAAUCAAUCUUUGAGAAACAUUGAGCUCCUUGUAAUUGAUCAAAAAGAUCAUCAAUGCGAGGAAGUGGGUAUCUAUUCUUAACAGUGACCUUGUUCAACUGUCUAUAGUCUAUACACAUCCUCAUUGAUCCAUCCUUCUUCUUUACAAAUAAAACAGGUGCUCCCCACGGAGACACACUUGGACGAAUAAACCCCUUAUCUAACAAAUCUUGAAUCUGCUCCUUCAACUCUUUUAAUUCUGCUGGCGCCAUCCUGUACGGUGCCAUAGAGAUUGGUUUUGUUCCUGAAACUAGAUCAAUACAGAAUUCGAUUUCCCUAUUGGGAGGUAGUCCAGGUAAGUCAUCGGGAAAAACAUCGAUGAAUUCCUUAACUAUCGAAACUUGUUCCAUCCUCGGGACCUCCAUGUUCAUAUCAUGCACAUAAGCCAAAAACCCUUGCAUACCUUUUCGUACCAUCCUUCUCGUGAUGGCCGAGAGAAUACUAGAUGGAGAUGAUAACCCAUCUCCAUGAAAAGCAAACUCCGUCUUCUCAUCAGGCUUGAAAAUCACUGUCUUAUUCCAACAAUCAACUGAGGCAUGGUGCCUUGAUAACCAAUCCAUACCUAGUAUCACAUCAAAACCUACUAUGUCUAAAAUUACCAAAUCGCCUAAUAGGUUUCUACCUUGCACUUGAAUCUCACAAUCAACAUAAACAUAUUCCCCAAACAUAACCUCAUCCGAAGGGAUAGCUACACACAAAGGACUCUCUAACAAAAUGGAUUGUUUAGUAAACCUUAAAGCAAAAUAUGACGACACGAAAGAAUGAGUUGCCCCCGUGUCAAAUAACACUCUAGCCUCGAAGGAACAUAACAUAACUAUAAAGGAGUUUUAAGGAGGACACACCAAACCCUAGAUUGGAGAAUUGUAAGAGGAACGACAUCAAGACAAGAUAGAUCCUAAGCUCCACAUAUUACGAGGGUUUUGAAAAAUAAAAAAAAUGACUAAAAUAGAUUACGAGGUUUUAAUAAAAACCGGGCUCUGAUACCACCUUUGUCACGACCCGAAUCCCGGGUCCAUGACCGGCAACGCAGGAGCGGUGGCGGAAGGACACCCCUCCCGCGCUAAGCCUCAUAACGGACAUAUCAAAAGAAUAAUUUAUUCAAAAAUACGCAGCAUUUCAUAAUCUUCAGAAAUAUUAUAUCCUUCAAAACUGAUGAAACCAGAAGAUAGUUUAAAACUCCUCAUCAGUAAUUAAAACAAAAACAAUAAUCCAUAAUACUCAUUACAUUGUCAAAAAUCCAAACUUAAUCAAAACAAAGUAAUAGUGGAGCGCCUAAGACAUCGAAUCAAACAGCCUUGAAAGAUAAGCAAGGCAUACCGACUCAAAACUGAAGAAGCAGGAACACUCAACAAGGUUCACCUGCUAUCAGAAACUAAGAACCUGAAAUAAUAUUAAGAAUGAGGGGUGAGUUCAACCAACUCAGUGAGGGAAUAAUAAUUAAUAUACAUUUUAGAUAUUCUUGAUAUUUAUAGUUCGCAAGAUCAUUUAUCUUGAUAUACAUAUACAUAUACAUACUAAACUUAUCAUAUACAUAUCAUAUACAUACUAAACGUAUCAUCAUAACGUAGUGGACUAUAUGUCAGAGAUCAGAUGACACCCGAAGGUGACCAGACCAGAUGACACCCGAAGGUGACCACUGUGGGAUGAUCAGUCGCCACAGGCUGAUGCCUCUCUCACCAGCUAGGUAUACAUACAGAAUACUAUGUGCACAUAGGCUAACUACUCUCCGUUAGCAUGGAGUUACUGACAAGUCCCAUAUCAAGGCAUAAUAGAUAUUCACAUAAUCAUCAAAGAAACGUAUAUCAUAUCAAAUAGAAUUUACUUUGACAGAUUGCGAGUGCAAAUUCAAGAAUAAAUGAGUACUCGGAAAAUAAGCAACAUAUAUAAUUAUUCAAGAAAUUAACGAGUUGUACUCAUUGUAUAAUCAACAUACAUAUUUACUUAUCAUAUAUGCAUAUUAAAGAUUAUUCCACUCACCCGGAAAAUAUAGAACUAAAGGAAUGUCAGACGAAAGACCCGAAAAUCCUAUUGAGGAUUGUUAGGAGAACCUACAACAAUAUGAAAAUAUACUCAAAAGCAACUCAACAAGAGAUCCCAAUGCAUAAAAUAAAACCAGGUUUAUUCUCCUAAGUUUAUGGACUAAAACGACAAUUUUCCAAAACAGGGACCAAAACGUAAUUUUACCAAAAUUGGACCAAUCUGGAAAAUACAUAACCAUACUGAAUUUUCACCCAUAAACCAUCCUUAAUUCUGUCUAGAACGAACCAGGGACCGAUCUGAAAUUUUCAUAAAAUUCAGGGACUAAAAUGUAAAUUCCCGAAAUUGAGGGACCAAACUGAAAAUAUUCAAAAUCAAUUAUCAAACUGCGAUUCAUCAUCCUUAACCUCAUAAUAACACUGUCCAGAAUCUCAAAUACAAUUAGGGGUCAAAUUAUAAUUUUCCCAAAGUUUAGGGACUAAACUGAAAUUUCACAAAUUGAGGGACCAAAUUGAAUUUUCGUUAUCUUCAACCUCAAACCCAGAAUUUUACAGAUUACCUACUGUCAUCUCCUGAUUUCUAACACAAUUUCAAAAAUCAUAACUCAAAAUCAUCAUCUUUACCCUCAAUCUCUCACAAUCAACUAAUUAACCAAUUACCCACAACAAUCAACCCAUAACCUUCCAAUUAAUUCAUCAAUCAAACUCAAAACACAAUAUUCAAAACCCUAACAUUUAUCAAAACAGAAAUUAAGGCUUAAAGAACACACAUUUAUACAUAAUCUUACCUUUAAACUUAUUUCCUCCAACUCCUUUCCUUUUUCCCUUAUUUUCCCCUCUUUUCUCUUCUUCUUCUUUCUCCCUUCUCUCUCACGGUUUGCUCUCUCAAAUAUUCAGAUAUCUUUUUUUUUUUUUUUCUCUUUAUACUUAUCAUCUCUUUAUACAAUUACUCCAAUACCCUUCAUUUAAUUAUACCAAUUUUUAGCCUUCAAGGGCUUUAUUGCCUUUUACCUACUCAUUAAAUUUCAAAACAUCACAACUUCAUUGACGAUGGAUGGCAGCUGAAGAAGAAGAUUCUUGCUUUCAGGAACUUACGGUACAACUAUGACAUGGGGACUGUACAUGAAGUCUUUAAAAGUGUGCUUGCAGAGUGGAGCAUCAACAAGAACGUUCGCUUCAUAUUCCUGGAUAUAACUCCUCCAAACGAUCACAUGAUUGGAGAAUUAAGAAGUAAGGUUUCUGAUCAAGCCCCACCUAUCCAUGGACAUCUUUUCUGUGUUCCUAGUUAUGCCCACAUUCUCAGUCUCCUUGUUCAAGAUGGAUUUUCUGAGAUAAGGAGUGUGCUUUAUAAGAUAAGAGAAUGUAUAGAGUACGUCAAAGGAAGCUCACUUGUAAGGCAGAGGUUCCAGGAGGCAAUUAAUAAUGGGAGUUUGCAGGACAGGGAAAUGCCUACUCUAGAUGUUGCCGCGAGAUGGGACACCACCUUUCUUAUGCUGGAGAGUUCAUUGGAAUUUAGAACAGCUUUUAAUCACCUUGAGCAAUUGGAUGAUGAUUUCAAAGUGAAUCCAUCUGCAGAAGAAUGGAACAAAGCAACAGCCGUAUUUGAGUGCUUGAAAGAGUUCUACAAUUCAACAUGCAAUUUUCCAACAAGCAGAGAUGAUUAUUUCCUCAGUGUUCGUGAUGUUUAUAAGAACUUGCAAGGCUGGAAACAGAGCGAUUAUGUAUAUGUUCGCGCUAUGGCAAAUAGAAUGAAGGGAAAAUUUGACGAGUAUUGGGGAGAAGCUAGCUUGGCUUUGGGAAUCUCAGCAGUUCUUGACCCCAGCUUUAAAUUGGACAUUAUUGAGUAUGGCUACCGGCAGAUAUACGGCAGUGAUGCUGACUUGCACUUAUCCAGAUUCCGUUACGAUCUUACAUGUGCAUACCAUAAAUAUGCAAAGGACAUCAGCAAUCAGGGACCAUCUUCUUCUGCCAUGGCUGAAGUGGGUCGUUGUACAUCAUCUGAUAUUAGUUUCAAAGAGUGGCGCAAGGGUAAGUAUGAACGCAACAUGGUGCCCUCACAAUGGAAUGAGCUUGAUCAGUAUCUACAACUGCCCCCGGAGAACUUGGAUAAGGAUGGUAACGUAUUAGCUUGGUGGCAAGACAAUGCUCCAAAUUUUCCAAUACUGGGAAAAAUGGCUCGUGAUUUCUUAGCAAUUCCAGUAUCAACUGUCAUUUCCAAGUCAUCAGAGGUUAUGAAGAUGGCAUCAGUCCAUGACGGUGUUCGUCCUGAGAUAGCCGAGGCUUUGAUAUGUGGAAAGGAUUGGUUGGACAGCCCUAACUGCAAGUUUUCCUUUUUCUUUUUGAUCUAUUUAAGUGUGAUGCGUUUAUAUCUCUGCUAUCUGUUUAUUUAUUUCUUCUUCUUCUUUUCUUCAGCAAUUGAUCCAUGUUUGGAUCCUCACUGGUAGUUGCUAGUACUGUGAAAUAAGUUUUUCCCAGGUAAACACUGGCCUUCUCUUUUAUUUCCAAGAACAAGAUUUUGUCUGCAGAGUGAAAAAUCAAAAUGCGCAUAUAAUCUGCAGUCUGCAUGAACAUUAAAACUAGGCUGGAAAGUAAUUCUCAAAUGAAAACAAAUAACAAGUUACAUUAUUUUUCUGUGCCGCAGGGUCAACCAGGCUGAGCAAAUCUGACUUGGAUGCUGUAGAAGAAUAGUACUGGACACAAGAACCUGAAGUGACGAAGACUUAUUUUUUGCUUAAUUUUAUCAUGAAUUUGAAAAUAAAAAAAAUCUUGAUGUAAAAAAUGAUUUGAAACUACUUUUUUAAUGCGUUUUAAAAAUAUAUCUGUAUCUCCUCGAAAAAACAUGAAAUUAAUGUUUUCUAGUGUUAUUUGAUGGUUUUAAUAUUCCAUGUCAAAAAUAAAAAAUAUAUAUAUAAAAAAAUUAUUUUUAACAUUAAUCCAUUAAAUACAAUCUAAUUAAUUUAGUUUUAUAAAUAUGACCAUGACCUAGACAGUUGCCUGCGUACUUUAGUAAACAAUUCAGGUAAUUUUGGCCCAUUGAAAAGCCCAUUUAAAAAACAUUAUAUGACUAUGCUUAAAAAACACUAGGCCUCGAUCAACUAUCACUUAAAACAAGCUAUCAAGCCUGGAUCAAACUUUAAAAUAAAGUAUUUUGUAUUUUAAGGUGUUGAUUAAAAUUUCUCAUUCCUUGCAAAUAUUUAUUUGCAUUCACCAAAAUAAUUAAUAUGUGAGAAACAAAUUUAGGUAGCAUCAUGCAUGAAUUCCCUUCAUUUCACACCAGCAAAAUUAUGUUUGCAUUAUUUCAGCUAUGAUUAUGUUAAUCAUAUUUACAUUAAUCUUUUUAAUUUUCUUUGUACCUAUUUUUUUUAAAAGAAAAAAUCACAGUUUCCAUAAAAAUAAUAAUUAUAACGAUUGUUUGAAUUAAAUGAAUAACAAAUUAUAUUAUUGUAAAUUAAUCUUUCAGCCCUUACUAAAUAAAAUAAAACUAUUCACAUUAAAUGUCUUAUGAUAGUCACUAAUUUAUUUUAAAGAUUCAUUAAUUAGAACAUAUAUUUGAAUAUAAAUAACAUUAUUCAAAACUAACAACGUAAAUAAGAUUUAUAAUUUGAAUAAUAGAAGAAGAAAGAUGCAGAAAUUAAAAGGUUAAAUUAUUCAAAAUCAUUUUAAAUUCUUGGUCAAUACUUUACCAAAUCCAAACCAUGUCCGGUCAUGUUCCUUCCAAAUCCCUAAACUCUGUUAGUCAAUAGUUUACCAGAACUGUAUAUGGACAUCUGUAUUCGGAAGAAUUAAUGGAAGUAGGGAUAUUAACGAGGUGCAUGCCUAGGAGGGCGCUGAAGGAGAGGCCUCGAAUCAUAGAUUGGGCAAUGAAUUCCAUCCAGCUCUAAUGGCUAUGCUCUUAGUACUGCUUACAAGCUUCCACAGCUUAGCAGUGAAGUCGAAUAAAAAUCACUAAUAUACAUAAACUGAGGUCAUUAUACUUUUCCUUUGUUUUCUAGAUGACUCGGUUGCCACUGAGAAUUGGGUAUAAAAAUGACUCUCAAAUGCUAUUUCCAGAGAUUUCUUAUGUGUCUCGAGGCUAUCUUAAAUCUGCAAAUCACCCUGUUGUUUUGUAACUAUUAUUACAACACUUUGUGGAUCAACUCGAGUCUUGUCACAAGUCGUGUUUUAAAUAAGUAAUUGAUACACUUAUAAUCUAUUUUUUAAUCUUUCUAUUUUAAUUUUUAUUCUUUUUUUUAUUUUUAUUUUUACUAUAUUUCCUGAGAAAUAAUAAUAAAAAAUGAUGAAAAAUUGAAAAUAAAAAUGAUGAUAAAAAACAAAUAAAUAAAUGAAAUAAAUGAAGAAUGAAUUAAAAUUUGGGUAAAGGCAACAAGUUUGAGGAUUUAAUUAAACUUUGGAUUAGUUUAAUUAACUAAAUCAAGAGCUUAAUUGAAGAAUUGAUAAGUUUUGGGAUUUAAUUGAGUUUAAAAUUAGUUUAAUUAGUGAGAUUAGAGGCUUAAUUGAAAAAAUAACAAAGUUUUGGGUUGAUUUGGAUCAAAAUUGAAUUAAAGAUUUUUUAAGUUAAUAAUAUAAAUCUUUAAUGAUAAUUUUUAAUUUGAAUAAAAUAAAAUAAAUAUUCUAUAAUUAGAUUAUCACAAAUAUAAGAUAAUAAGAUAAUAAUUAUAAAUUGUGAUUUUUCGUUUUUUUUUUUUUAAUAAAAACUACAUGUAUUCUUGAUUUUUUUUUUUUGAAAAAUACAUUUUGUUGACAAAAAUGAGCAUCUUUAUUAAUUUUUCAUUGAAAAAAGAAAACUAAAAAAAAGUUGUUUUUUAUUUCUAAACACACCUUAAUCCUUUCAUAUUGCUAUUAUAGCUGUUAAAUCUAAUUUGACUUGGUACAUUGACCAGGAUACAAGAGCUGAUCUAGAUUGAUUUUUAGUUAAACUAAUUAACAAGACAUUAGCAUGUUAAAUUGAUAUGACAUGACUUGUUUUUUUAGUAACUUUAAUUGACUCGGUCACAUCCAAUUCAAAACCAAUUGGGUAAAUAUUUUGUAAAAAAAAAAAAUUAUUUUAAUAAAAAUAGUUGAUACAUAGUUUGUUCUAAUGAUUUUGUCACAGGUGGACAUCAUCGCAAGCUAGCCAGUGAAAAAGAGAUAAAAAAAAAAAACUUGUCACGUAGUUUUAUAAUAACUAAAUAUUUUAACUAUUUUUUUCAUAAUUUCUAGUUAAGGAGGUUGAUUAUUUAAUAAUAAAGAUAAACACCAUUUUAUAUAUUAUAUCUAAAGUAAAUUACGUUGUUGUUUGUUUUUAAUUAAAAGAAAUGUUUAAAGUGACUUUGAAAAUAUUUUUAUGAAAUAAUUUUAAUAUCACUUCUACAACAAUUUUUAAGAAUAAAUUGGAUUAAGAGGUGUAUAACUUCUAUGACAACUUUUAAGAAUAAUUCUCAUUAAGAGGUUAUUUAUCCUAUGUUGAUCAAUAAAUAAUAAAAUAAAAAUAAAAAUAAAAAUUCAGUAUUUGCUGAUAAUAAAAUAUUUUUCUUAAAUAAUUUUAGGCCCCGUUUGUUUGACGGAAAGUGGUUUUCUAGAAAGCACUUUCCAAACAUUUCUGUGUUUGUUUGUCAUUAGAAAAGUUGGUCAAUAGAAAAUAUUUUUCAGUCAAAGAAAAAUUUGGCUUGGUUUUCAGGAAAGUGUUUUCCUUUUAUUUUGAACGGAAAAUACUUUUCAAAAGUUGUGAAAAAAUUAAAAUGUCAUAUUAUUUAUUGAUUAUAUCAAAUUUGGUCCUCAAACUUUUGAUUGCUAUAUAUAUUUUGUUUUGAAUAUUUGUUUUUAAUUUUUAUCCCUUAGAAUUUGUUUUUUAUAUUAACUUUGGUCUUUAUUCUUAUGAUUAUUAUUGGCUUUUCUCUUAUCAUUUUUUAAUUAAAUUUUUUUAUGUAUCAAAUUUGAUUCUCAUUAUUUUGAUUGUUACUUAUUUUAUUUGAAAUAAUUUAUGAAAUUGUAAUUAUUAUUAUUUUAAUUUUAUCAUCUUUUAAUUUUUUUUAUCUGUUAGAUUUGAUCUCUAUUAUUUUGAUUAUUAUUUAUUUUAUCUGAGAUAAUUUAUAAAAUUAUAUUUUUUUUCAAUUUCAUUCUCAUUCAACCUUUUAAUUUAUAAGAUUUGUUUCUCAUUAUUUUAAUAAAUUUGAAAAAAAAGUAUUAAUGACAAUAAAAAAUUCACUUAUUUUCUAUGAUAUAACUAAACACUAGAAAAUAUUUUCCAACUUAUUUUUCAUAAUAUUAUCAAACAUAAAAAAAUAAUUCACUUUCUUGAAAUUCACUUUUCAAAAGAAUUAUUUUUCAAAAAGAAACUAAAUUUUCAAAUAAACAAACAUACUUAAUACCACCUUUUUUUUGUGAAAAUUGUUACAUGAUAUUAUCAAACCCCACAUAGUAUUUGCUGCUGCUGUGAAUGCUGGUGGUGAUGGAGGCAGAACCUGCAGGAUGUUGAUAACAUUUUCUUUAUGCUCCCUAGCUUUUCAUCAAAUCGAUUUUCUCCUUGCAAAGUUCUUGAAUAUUGAUUUUUUUAUCGAUUUAUUUUUCAAAUUUUAUUAAUUUUAAAUAUUAUAAAAUUUAAUAAAAUAUACAAUUUAAAUUAUAAAUUUAAUAGAUUCAUCGAGAUUAAUUCAAUAUAUCUCUAAGAAAAAAACAUUUUAUAAUUUUUUUAUUUCAAAAUUUGUUGGUAUAGUAUAGUGAGAGAAGUAACCUAGUUUAUAUUUAAACAAACCCCUAUCAUUAAAUUCGAUUUCAAGCUGAAAACAACUCUAACCAAACAUCAUAAACAGCUCUAAAAUUAUAUUUUUCCACAGACAAUUUUGACAUGUAACCCCCGACCUCUAAGUAAAUGACAGCAUCAUUUUGCAGCACAAUCCUAUCCAGUCAUGACAGAUGGGCUUAGAAAAUGGAAUUUACAAAGCAGAGGAAAAGGCAAGAAUACCAAUUCUCAAUCAAUGGGUCCAUUGCUUAGGUCCCUCCAUCGUGAUUCUGUAAGAUUUUUCCUUUGAUUUCUAAGAACCACACAAACCAUCUCAACACACGUCGUCCACAUCUUCACUCAUGCCCUUCCAAGAUUGCAAAAGAUCUGAAUGGAAUGGAGGUCCAAUUGAAUGACACUAUCUUUAAAGUGAACUGCAGGUUCCACGAAGGAACGUAUGCUGGAAGCAAACGGGGUUGACUAUAAGAAACGAAGAGUGAAAGAGUCAUUUGCUUCGAUUCCCUUCAUCAAAUCUUGUUUCCUUCGAUGGCCUCUCCCCUGUCUUGCGUGUUGAUGGUGUGUGCUAAGGCGAUUGAAGGUGAUCGCUUGGAUGUUGCAGAUUUUCUUUUGGCAGAAAUUCAAUCUCUAGCUUCUAAAGAGGAGAGCAUAUGGACGAGGAAAAUUGUCAAAUACUUUGCUGAGGCUCUUGUCCGGCGAGCCUAUCGAAUUCGUCCUCCUUGUACUUUUCCCUUGCUACUACCCGGAUACAUGUAUAAACCUUUCUGCGAGUUUGCUAGAAUCACCAGUAAACAUGCCAUUGCCGAUCAUGCCUUGAAUUCGGGAAAUAAAGGACUCCACAUUAUUGACUUCUCCAUCAAGUUCAAUUUUCGGCAGUGGAAAGAUUUAAUUGAAGACCUCAAAAGGCAGUAUGGUGGCCUACAAUCUGUCCUGAUAACCAGUAUCGCACCGAAACUGUCAAAACACUCUUACCAUCUCCGUCAAAACCGGGAAUGGGCUGAGCACAAAAAUUUGGAAUUGAGGCAAUUGAUAUGCAAUAGUCCGGAUGAUAUUGUCAAUUGUAUUUCCAAACUCAGAAGGAAAAGGGAGGAUGAGAUUGUGGUUGUGAAUUGGAAUUUUACACUCCACAAAUUGCUUGCACAAGAUGGGGCAACGGAGCAAGUGCUUUCAAAAGUGAAGGAUUUGGGAGCGGACAUCAUGGUAAUUGUUGAGCAAGAAGCCAAUCUUAACAGCCCUCAUCUUUCGAAGCGGCUCGAACAAUCAUUCCAAUACUACUCCCCUUGUUUUAAGGCACUGGAGGAAGAUUGUGAUAGACAUGUGUUCAUGGAGAUGUAUUUCAGGCGACAGAUUGGGAAUGUGGUGGCAUGUGAGGGCGUUGACCGGGUCGAGCGGAUUGAGUCAUUUGCUCACUGGCAAAAUCGCCUAUCUCAGGCUGGGUUUUGUCCAGUUCCCCAACAGGUAGACAAGUUCGAUGAAGAGUUUGUAAUCGAAGAGAAUGAAGGGCAUAAUAUCUUGCUAAGUCGGCACGGUUGUCCGCUAGCUGUAGCCUCAGUUUGGAAGCUCACUGAUCCACCUCAAUUCAGUGGCGGUGAAUAAUCCAAUUCCAUCUUUUCCUUUCUCUUCUCUUGUUAUACUAAUUUAUCCAUGAAUAAAUUCGUUGUGUGCAUUUUCACUUUAGGCUACUGGAAAACAUGUUGACAGGUCUUUACACAAUGCAAGAUACAGUUGAUGACUCAGAAGGGAUGUCGAGCUCCCCUGAGUCUGAGGAUGAUGAAGAAAAUGAUUCUCUAGUUCGCAUAAUGGCAGAUAGAAACUUAUGGUCCACACAGACACAGGUAUCCUUCUUUGUUUCCGAGAUUUAACAAAUUUCCUAGUUUUAUCUUUAUGCCAUUAUUGGUGUCGUUGAUCUCACAGGGCUCUUCAAUGAAUCGAAUAGCUGCUUCAGCUAAGUUAUUUGACAUAUUGGAAUAUAUAUGUGAUCUACAUAGGUUAGAACUGGGUGUGACAUGGAUUUCCUAUGGCCAAGAUGGUAAUACAAAUUCAAAGGGAAAGCGUAUUCUAUGUAUUGAUGAUAGCGCUUGCUAUGUAAAUAAUUGGGUUAUGGCAAAAUUUGUGGAUGAAUAUGCACGACAUCGUCUCGAGGAAGGACAAGGUAUCGCCGGAAAAGCACUUCAAUCUAAUAUUCAUAUCCAGCAUGACAUUUACUUGCUUGAUCCAUCUGAAUUCCCUGAUUCCUGUUCCUUCAGUAGCUCUUGGAUCAGAAAAUGGUAUGCUGCUUUUGCUAUAAGGCUAACAAGUACCCACCCUUGCAAGGAUGAUUACGUACUGGAAUUUCUUCUCCCUGUAGACAUGACAGACAGAACAGAACUUUUGAUAAAUAAGGUCUUGCGUACAUUGCAGAGGAAAUGUUUAAAGUUGUGGGAAGUUAGUGUCAGAGAAGUAAAUGAGGCGAGUGGCUCUGAAGGUAGAUUGGAUGAUGAAAAAAUGCCAAACAUCCCACGAGAAACACGCGAGCCUCUUGAACAGGUGCUCUUCUAUACUGAAUUCAUGUCAUUAUUUGCUUGAAGACUGAUAUCGAAUUUUUAAAUUUUUUUUUUUUAAGAUUUAAAUUAAUUCUAAUUUUAAUAUUUAUUUUUAUAAUUGUUAUUUAUUUUUUUCUUAUAAUUUUUUUAAUUGAAAUUUUUUAUCUAUUAUAUUUGAUCAUCGUUCUUAUUCUUAUUUAAUUUUUUAAUUUAUAAGAUUAGUUUUUGAUUAUUUUAAUAAAUUUAAAAUAAAAUAAAAUAUUAAUAAGUUUUUUUUUUUUAAUAACAUAACUAAAUAUUAAAAAAUAUUUUUUAAUUUAUUUUUAAUGACACUACUAAAUAUCUAAAAAUAAUUUACUUUUAAGAAUUCAUUUAAAAAAAAAAAUACUUCCAUGUUGUUUGCUAUAAGAAUUCUAGCCCACUCUAAUACAUAAAGAAUUGGAUUUUAGGUUAUUUAGAUCCAGAAACACCAAAUUAACUAAUUUUCUUCUAAAAAUAUUUUAAAAAAACUUUUUAAUGAGUUUAAAAUUAAAAAUCAAACUAAAUAAAAAAAAAUCUACAUGUGAUUCGCUGCAAGAAAUUCUAGCCAGCAGAAUUGGGUUCAAGGUUAUUUAGACCCAGAAAGUCUAAAUCAUCUGCCUUGUCAGAUGGACAGAAAAGACCCUCUGUUUUGGAUGGACACCCAUCAUGUGUCCAAUCACAGCCUUCUAUGUGGCAGAUUUCCUUCCGCAGAUUGCGCAAGGGGUGGAAUAAUUAUUGUUCAGUAGAUAAAUUACAAUUGAUGAUUCGAAUAUAAUAAAAUCCAUUUUGCCUCCGUUUUGCUUUUAUGUUCAACUAUUGAAGAACACACAAUCUGCCAUUAUUAUUGACUGGAAUUGGCCUUCAUGCUGCCAAUAUCCUACUUCCCUAUCUCUUGACAGGACGUCCAAGAACAAUCUGCUAUACCCGCACCUGCUCUGAAUGGUGAGAAUGCAUCGCUUAGUAUAGAUGGUGGCCUCCAGAGUACUAAUAAACGACGAAAGAUAUCAGCUGUGUGGGAAGAAAAUGGGGAAGUAUGGGCCACAUGUAAAUACUGUAAGAAGACGUAUUUGCAGCCAUUGUUUGAACUUCAUUCAAAAGACGAGGUUACAGAUGAUGUCCUUACUAUUUACAGACGAGAGAAGGAGAAACUCAUCAAAUAUUUUGAUAAGCUCUCUUGUCUCUUGAGUUUAUCAAUUGAAUUGUGGUCAUCGAAUGACAAAAUGAUGACCUACUGUUGCUUCACCGUGCACUUCAUUGACGAUGGAUGGCAGCUGAAGAAGAAGAUUCUUGCUUUCAGGAACUUACGGUACAACUAUGACAUGGGGGCUGUACAUGAAGUCUUUAAACACGUGCUUACAGAGUGGAGCAUCAACAAGAACGUUAGCUUCAUAUUCCUGGAUAUAACUCCUCCAAAGGAUCACAUGAUUGGAGAAUUAAGAAGUAAGGUUUCUGAUCAAGCCCCACCUAUCCAUAGACAUCUUUUCUGUGUUCCUAGUUAUGCCCAAAUUCUCGGUCUCCUUGUCCAAGAUGGAUUUUCUGAGAUAAGGAGUGUGCUUUAUAAGAUAAGAGAAUGUAUAGAGUACGUCAAAGGAAGCUCACUUAUAAGGCAGAAGUUCCAGGAGGCAAUUAAUAAUGGGAGUUUGCAGGACAGGGAAAUGCCUACUCUAGAUGUUCCCGCGAGAUGGGACACCACCUUUCUUAUGCUGGAGAGUUCAUUGGAAUUUAUAACAGCUUUUAAUCACCUAGAGCAAUUGGAUGAUGCUUUCAAAGUGAAUCCAUCUGCGGAAGAAUGGAACAAAGCAACAGCCGUAUUUGAGUGCUUGAAAGAGUUCUACAAGUCAACAUGCAAUUUUCCGACAAGCAGAGAUGAUUAUUUCCUCAGUGUUCGUGAUGUUUAUAAGAAUUUGCAAGGCUGGAAACAGAGCGAUUAUGUAUAUGUUCGCGCUAUGGCAAAUAGAAUGAAGGGAAAAUUUGACGAGUAUUGGGGAGAAGCUAGCUUGGCUUUGGGAAUCUCAGCAGUUCUUGACCCCAGCUAUAAAUUGGACAUUAUUGAGUAUGGCUACCGGCAGAUAUACGGCAGUGAUGCUUACUUGCGCUACUACCAGAAAUUCCUUGACAAUCUUAUAUGUGAAUACAAUAAAUAUGCAAAGGACUUCCGCAGUCAGGGACCAUCUUCUUCUGCCAUGGCGGACGUGAGUCGUUGUACAUCAUCUUAUAAUAGUUUCAAAGAGUGGCGCAAGGGUAAGUAUGAACGCAAUACGGUGCACUCACAAUGGAAUGAACUUGUUCAGUAUCUAGAAAAGCGUCCGGAGAACUUGGAUAAGGAUGGUAACGUAUUAGCUUGGUGGCUAGACAACGCUCAAAAUUUUCCAAUACUGGGAAAAAUGGCUCGUGAUUUCUUAGCAAUUCCAGUAUCAACUGUCAUUUCCAAGUCAUCAGAGGUUAUGAAGAUGGUGUUGGGAAAACUAGGGACAACUAACCGGAUCAAUUCAGCGGAAUACAAUUCACAAUUCACAAGUCCCAAUCCUUUUUCCCUCUUUGUGCAGUAAAAACAGAAUCAAACAAUGAACAAAUAUAAUGCAACAAUCACACAAAUCAACACCAAGAUUUUUUACGUGGAAAACCCGAUGCGGGAAAAACCACGGGACCGGAGUCCACCUAAAAACUUCCACUAUCACAAAUAAUGGGUUCACAAUUGUUCUUCCUCAGAUUCAACUAAGGGCUACAACAUAUAUAUCAUCAAGAAUAACUUAUUCUCGGAUUACAACAAGAUUAAAGGAGAAUUAUUUGAGAAAAACUCACAAUACUGACAACCCCGUUUUCUGUCAAAACGGCCAGCUUCCACACCACCAAUCUUCAAUCCAACCGUUCAGAAUGAAGAGUAACGUGUCUAGAAGCUGCUGUCCAAAUCUCAGCCCGAUCCAACGGUGAACGAACUGGAAAUCAAAGAAAGAAGACAGACUGCUCUGCUGCCUCCUCUUCUUUCUUUCUCUCGGUUUUUCUCUGCUCUCUCGUUCUUUCUCUACUGCCUCUACAGUGGCAGUUUCAUUUUAAAUCAAAGAGGCAGCCAGCUGCCUCCUUAAUUAAUGUGGUGGUCCCCCCCCAUCACAUGGUGCGGGACCACACAACAAAUCUCCCCCUCACGCACCAUGUGAGGAAUUCGCCAUACUGGCGAUCAACAUGUAAGCUUCAAUUUAGGAGGCUCUGACAAGCCUGCCUCCCUUCUGCAAAACUCAAACUUCUCUCUCGAUAGAGGUUUGGUCAUCAUGUCUGACACGUUGUCAUCGGUAUGGAUUUUCUCAACAACAAAUGACUUCAUCUCCAUAGCAUCACGAAUCCAUUGAUAUCUAACCUCAAUGUGCUUUGAUCGAGAGUGAAAAGUAGGAUGCUUACUGAGAUGGAUUGCACUUUGACUAUCACAGUGCAACACAAAGUUCUCUUGAACUAGGCCAAGUUCAUGUAAGAACUUCUUCAUCCAUAACAACUCUUUGCCCCCUUCAGUAAGAGCAAUAUAUUCAGCCUCUGUAGUGGAUAAUGCCACACAUUUUUGCAACCUUGAUUGCCAUGAGACUGCUCCCCCUGCAAACUUCAUCAAGUAUCCUGAUGUGGACUUUCUAGAAUCAACAUCACCAGCCAUAUCUGCAUCUGUGUAUCCAUCCAACACAGGUUUAUCAUUACCAAAACAUAAGCUGAAACUAGAAGUACCUUUGAGAUACCUGAGUAUCCAUUUCACUGCUGACCAGUGUUCUUUACCAGGAUUGGAGAGGAACCGACUAACCACACCAACUGCAUGAGCUAUAUCCGGCCUUGUGCAAACCAUGGCAUACAUCAAGCUACCAACUGCGGAUGCAUAAGGAACCUUUUUCAUCUCAUCUCUUUCUUCAUCACUUGAAGGACACUGCUUAGAACUUAGUUUAAAGUGGCUUGCAAGUGGAGAACAAACCGGUUUGGAGUUGCUCAUGUUGAAUCUCUCAAGUACCUUUUGAACAUAUCUCUCCUGAGAUAGCCAAAGUUUCUCCUUCUUCCUGUCACGUGUGAUCUUCAUGCCAAGAAUCUGUUUUGCCGGUCCUAAGUCUUUCAUUGCAAAAGACUUGCUUAACUCUUCCUUCAAAAUCUGAAUCUUCUUAGCAUCAUGGCCAACAAUCAACAUAUCAUCCACAUACAACAAGAGAAUAAUAAAGUUUCCAUCUGGAAACCUUUUCAUAAAUACACAAUGAUCAGAAGUGGUCCUGUCAUAACCAUGGUCCACCAUGAAAGAAUCAAACUUCUUGUACCAUUGUCUUGGAGCUUGCUUUAACCCAUAUAGGCUCUUUUUCAACUUGCAAACUAACUGCUCUUUGCCUUUUACUUCAAACCCUUCAGGUUGUUCCAUGUAGAUCUCUUCAUCUAAAUCACCAUGGAGAAAGGCAGUUUUCACAUCAAGUUGCUCAACUUCAAGAUUCAAACUAGCAGCUAAGCCAAGCACAACUCGGAUUGAAGACAUCUUGACCACUGGUGAAAAGAUUUCUUCAAAAUCAAUACCCUUCUUCUGACCGAAGCCUUUCACAACCAAUCUUGCCUUGUACCUUGGUUGUGAGCAAUGUUCAUCAAUUUUCAGCCUGAACACCCAUUUGUUCUUGAGUGCUCUCUUACCUUUAGGAAGCUUCACUAACUCAAAGGUAUGGUUUUCAUGCAAGGAUUUCAUCUCUUCUUGCAUUGCUUUCAACCACUCAUUUUUCUUCUCAUGUGACAUAGCUUCAUCAAAGCAUUCUGGCUCUCCCCCGUCAGUAACCAUCACAUACUCAUGAGGAGAAUAUUUGGUGGAAGGUUGGCGAGGUCUGGUUGACCUCCUCAAUUGUGGCUCAUCUGGAGCUUCCUGCAUAACCUGUUCAGGAAUAACAUCAAUAUCAUCAUUAGUUGAUUCAUGAUCACCAACUAAUGGCUCAAUAAGAAAACCACCAUUUUCAUCAUUUUGCAAGUCUCCCCCAUGAUUAGCAGGCAUCAAAGGUAACUGUGGAGUAGGUCUUGGAUUUGAAGUAGAUGGAAUAAAAGUUGUAGACUCUGUUUCCUCCUUCAGUUCAAAGUCUUCAAUGGUUUGAUCUUCAAAGAAGAUAACAUCUCUGCUUCUCACAAUUUUCUUCUCCUUUGGAUCCCAUAACCUAUAGCCAAACUCAUCAUCUUCAGAUCCCAAGAAAAUACACUGCUUUGUCUUGCUGUCAAGCUUGGACCUUUCAUCCCUUGGAACAUGUACAAAUGCUCUGCAUCCAAACACUCUCAAGUGUGCAUAGGAAACAUCCUUUCCUUUCCAAACUCUAUCUGGAACAUCAAACUCAAGAGGAACUGAUGGAGAAAGGUUGAUCAUGGCAACUGCAGUCUUCAUUGCCUCACCCCAAAAGGACUUAGGCAGCUUUGCAUGAGAGAGCAUACAUCUAAUUCUUUCAACAAUGGUUCUGUUCAUCCUCUCAGCCACUCCAUUCUGCUGUGGAGUCUUAGGAACGGUCUUCUCCAACUUGAUACCCUGUUCCCUGCAGUACUUCUCAAAAGGACCUCUGUAUUCACCACCAUUGUCUGCUCGAACACAUUUCAGCUUUCUACCAGUUUCUCUUUCAACUCUGGCAUGGAAAUCCUUAAAGACAUCAAGCACCUGAUCUUUGGAUUUCAAACAAGUGGCCCAAAUCUUCCUGGAGUGAUCAUCAAUAAAACUAACAAAGUACAAUGCACCUCCAAGAGACUUAUCAAUCAUAGAGCAAACAUCAGUAUGAACUAAAUCAAGAACAUGUGACCUUCUAUGUGAAGGUGAUCUUUGAAAUGCAACUCUAUGUUGUUUACCAACUAAACAAUGAGUACAUGUGUUCAAGUUCAUACCUUUCAAUGGAAGGUAGUUCUUCUUGGCAAGGAUGUCAAGGCCUUUCUCACUCAAAUGUCCAAGCCGCUUAUGCCAUAGAUCAGUAGAGCAAUCUUCAAUUGCAUUCACCUCCCCUUUGAUCACCUUGGCUUGUGACAUGUAGAGACCCAUCUUCUUCCCUUUAGCAACAAUUAGGGAAUUUCUGGAGAGCUUCCAUUUACCAUCUCCAAAGUAACUGUGAUAGCCUUCUUCAUCAAGAGUACCAGUAGAGAUCAAAUGUAGGCGCAUAUCAGGCACAUGCCUAACAUCUUUGAGUAGCAACUUGCACCCAGUAUUGGUUUCCAACCAAAUAUCUCCAAUGCCCACAACACUAGCCAUCCCUUGAUUUCCCAUCCUAACUUGACCAAAGUCACCAGCAGUGUAGGAUGUGUAAAAAUCAUGUCGGGGUGUAACAUGGUAAGAAGCUGCUGAAUCUGCAACCCAGGUGGUAUCUUGACAUGCAAGAUUAACACAGCCAUCAUCACACACAAUGGCAACAUCACCAUCAGAUACAACUGCAGCUGUACCAUUCUCUUCAUUCUUGUCUUCAUCUCUACCCUUUUUAUCUCUUUUAUACUUUCUGCAAUCCUUUUGCAUAUGCCCAGGCUUGUCACAAUAAUAACACUUAAAACCCUUCCUUGACUGAGAUCUUCCUCUUGGCUUCCAUUUGCCUUUUCUAUUGCUGGAUUCUCCAUCUUGCUUGCCGUGAGAGAACCUGCUUUGACUUCUCCCUCGACUUUCUGUAACAAGUGCAUGAGACUCGGAAGUGCUUGUCCCUUUCCUCCUCUUCUCUUCAUUGAGGAUACAAUCCUUCACUGUUUUCAAAGUGAGCUUUCCAUUCGGAGUAGAAUUGCUAAGUGACACUACCAAAGUCUCCCAACUAUCCGGCAAUGAACUCAAUAGGAUUAAUGCUUGCAUUUCAUCGGCUAACUCAAGGUUCAUCAAUGACAGCUGAUUCAAGAACCCUUGGAAUACAUUUAUAUGCACUGAAGCAUCUUCACCAUCUCUAUACUUCAAAUUCACAAGGUCUCUAAUUACAAAAACCUUGUUUUGUGCACUCUCCUUGGCAAAUGUUUCUUCCAACAUCUUCCACACUGUAUAACAGUCAUGUUCUUGAGAAAUAUGAUUAAUGGACUUAGAAGAUACCCAUUUUCUAACAUUAGCGGUAGCCUUUCUAUUUAGUCCAUUCCAUUUUGCAUCAUCCAUAUCAUCAGGCUUUAUUCCUUUACAUUCAAUCGGCAAAGCCAAAUCAUUGCAAUAUAAGUGAUCCUCCAUCAUUGUUUUCCAUAGAAAAUAAUUUGAGGAAGUGAGCUUUAUCAUGCCCGAAUCUUCCUUUUCCAUUUUAACUGCACAAGAAUUCAAUCUACACAACCAAAUGCUCUGAUACCACUUUGUUGGGAAAACUAGGGACAACUAACCGGAUCAAUUCAGCGGAAUACAAUUCACAAUUCACAAGUCCCAAUCCUUUUUCCCUCUUUGUGCAGUAAAAACAGAAUCAAACAAUGAACAAAUAUAAUGCAACAAUCACACAAAUCAACACCAAGAUUUUUUACGUGGAAAACCCGAUGCGGGAAAAACCACGGGACCGGAGUCCACCUAAAAACUUCCACUAUCACAAAUAAUGGGUUCACAAUUGUUCUUCCUCAGAUUCAACUAAGGGCUACAACAUAUAUAUCAUCAAGAAUAACUUAUUCUCGGAUUACAACAAGAUUAAAGGAGAAUUAUUUGAGAAAAACUCACAAUACUGACAACCCCGUUUUCUGUCAAAACGGCCAGCUUCCACACCACCAAUCUUCAAUCCAACCGUUCAGAAUGAAGAGUAACGUGUCUAGAAGCUGCUGUCCAAAUCUCAGCCCGAUCCAACGGUGAACGAACUGGAAAUCAAAGAAAGAAGACAGACUGCUCUGCUGCCUCCUCUUCUUUCUUUCUCUCGGUUUUUCUCUGCUCUCUCGUUCUUUCUCUACUGCCUCUACAGUGGCAGUUUCAUUUUAAAUCAAAGAGGCAGCCAGCUGCCUCCUUAAUUAAUGUGGUGGUCCCCCCCCAUCACAUGGUGCGGGACCACACAACAGAUGGCAUCAGUCCAUGAUGGUGUUCGUCCUGAGAUAGCUGAGGCUUUGAUAUGUGGAAAGGAUUGGUGGUUGGACAGCCCUAACUGCAAGUAAGUUUUCCAUUUCUUUUUUCUCGAUUUAAGUGUCAUGCCUUUAUAUAUCUGCCAUCUGCUUAUUUAUUUCUUCUUCUUUUUUCUUCAGCAAUUGAUCCAUGUUUGGAUCCUCACUGGUAGUUGCUAGUACUGUGAAAUAAGUUUUUCCCAGGUAAACACUGGCCUUCUCUUUUAUUUCCAAGAACAAGAAUAUUUGUCAGCAGAGUGAAAAGUCAAAAUGCGCAUGUAAUCUGCAGUCUGCAUGAACAUUAAAACUAGGCUGGAAAGUAAUUCUGAAAUGAAAACACAUACUAUCAACUCAAUAGCUUAAACUGACGAGGUUUCAUAAUAUAAUUUAUAUUUAUAUUAUUUUUUAACACACCAUCUCAAGUGAAAACUCUUUGAACUUGAAACUUGCAUAGGCCCACAUUACCUUGUGUUUAAUUUUUAUCAAAUAAAUGGUAAUGGUGAGAUUCAAACUCAUGACCGCUUGGUCAUCAAGACUCUGAUACUAUGUUAAAGAAUCAUAUUAACCCAAUAGCUUAAGCUGCUAGGUGAGGUCCCAAGAUAUGAUUUAUAUUAUUUUCUAACACCCCCCUCAAGUGAAAGCCCUUUGAACUUAAAACUUGCACAUGCUCACUUUUUUUUUAUAUAAGAAAUUAAAAUUUUAGUAGCAUAAACGCUCCAAGCUUAAACCAUCCUUGAAACCAUAAAACAUGAUUUUUACAAGUCUAUAAUUUCAAAUGAUAUCUUCAGUACUCAAAUAAAUAGGGAUGAUGAGAUUUGAAUUCGUGACCGCUUAAUCAUUAAGGCUUUGAUACCAUGUAAAUAACCAUAUUAACCCAAUAGCCUAAGCUGUUAUGUGAGGUUCCAGAAUAUAAUUUAUAUUAUUUGUUAUCAGAAGAUACAUUAUUUUUCUAUGUUGUAGGGUCAACCAGGCUGAUCAUAUCUGACUUGGAUGCUGUAGAAGAAUACUAGACAUAAGUUAAGACUUAUUAUUUGCUUAAUUUUAUCAAGGAUUUGAAAAUAAAAAAACUUUGAAUAUAUAAAAAAUGAUUUGAAACUACUUUUGAGUGUGUUCGGCUUGAAAAAAAUAUAAAAUUGAUAUUUUGUUAGUGUUAUUUGAUGGUGUUAAUAUUCUAUAUUAAAAAUAAAAAAAAUCUGGAAAAAUUUAUUUUCAUAUAUUUUUAAUAAAAAAUUAUUUUUAAAAACCAUCAUAUAGGUUGUUUUUGUUACAAAAAUGUAUUAUUGUAAAACCCACUACACCACAGUUUUUGGCCCAAACCAUUAUUGUAAAAUGUAUUAUUAAAUUAUUAUGUUAAAAUGUAUUAUUAUGCAAGUAGGGUUUUAUAUCAAAUUAGAUAGGAAUUUGAUAUGCAAUCGUCAAUCAGUCCUAAUAACCACCAGUAUCACACCGAAAUUGUCAAAACACUCAGACUGUCUCCGUCAAAACCGGGAACGGGCUCGGCAGUUUGGGGGCACAAACCGGGAACGGGCUCGUCAAUAGUCCGGAUGAUAUUGUCAAUUGUAUUUCCGAACUGAGAAGGAAAAGGGAGGAUGAGAUGUGUGGUUGUGAAUUGGAAUUUGAAAUUUAUCUUUUUAAUUGUAUUUGUACUGUCUCUUUUUUUAAGAAAAAAAUCACGGUGGCCGUCAAAGUAAAAAUAAUAAUCAUAAUAAUGAUCGUUAUAUUAUUGUAAAUUAAUUUUUCAGCCCUUACUAAAUAAAAUAAAAAUAUUCGUCUCGUAAUAUCCAUAUCAAAUGUCUUAUGAUAGCCACUAAUUUAUUUUAAAGAUUUAUUAGAAUAUAUAUUUGAAUAUAAAUAACAUUAUUCAAAACUAACAACCUAAAUUAGAUUUAUAUCUUGAAUAAUAGAAGAAGAAAGUUGUAGAAAUUAAAGGGUUAAAUAAUUCAAAAUCAUUUUAAAUUCUUGGUCAUAGUAAUCUAGUCUCUAAACUUUAAUUUUCUUAUUCAAAUAUCAUAAACUAUUUCUUGGUAAAAAAACAAACUUUGAUCCUAAAUAUUUAUAACCACCGAUUCAAUGUGGGUUUUGCUGAGAAUUCCUAAAUAUUUGAUCCUUCUCUUGGAUUUAUAGUCUUAAAGGCUCAUAUCUGAAUUUUGUGCUCGUGCUUUCUAUAUUAUUUACUAUGAAGUUUGUUUAUUUUGCUGCUGUAACCCAUAAUCGAAUCUGGGUUGUGCUUAAAAUUACGAAAUAUUUCAUCUUUCACUCUAAUUUAGUCUUCAAGACCCAUGUCUGAAUUUUCAAUGACCUCAGAACCUUUCAAUUCCAGUUUAUGUAGCAAAUCUGCUAUCAUAGUUUAUGUAGCACAAACUAUGCUCGAGAAUGCUGAUAAAGACAUGGAUGUUGUACUCUCUCCAUAUUCUUUAACUUCAUUUGAUUUGCUAACAGAAUCAAACAAUAUCAGGACGCCACGGAUUGAUUCUUUCUCGACAUCAUCAAAUUAGAAAAAUAAAUUAAUACAUGAUGUGUAAAUAUACUAAACAAUCGAAAUAAUAUUAUUUGUGGCUGGUGUUUUUGCCUGCUAUUUAUGUUAAUUUAACAGGCAAAUUUCACCUUGUAAUACACACACUUGUAUUUUAGCUCCACAGUGGGUUAAUAUUAUUUUUAAAAAAAUAUAAAAAAAUAUUAAGAAUAUAAAAAAUAUUUUAAAUACUUUGGACUUGGGUUUCCCAAGGUGCUUGGGCUAAUAUAUUUUUGGGCUUUGCUUGACAUUAGUUAACCCGGAAAUAUAUAUAUAUAUUAGUUUUUAAUAUUUCAUAUAAAAAAAUUAAAACAUAAUCCAUAUAGACAUAAGAUAAAAGACUAUUUCAAAAGGUUUCAUUGAAAAGAUAUUAUCUUAUUUUAUUAAAUUGGAAUAUUUAAACUAAAAAGAUUUUUUUUAUUUUACAUUAAAAAAACACAACUUUUUGUUUUUAUGAAUAUUUGAAAAAAAUCUCACAAUUGUGAUAUGGGUUAGUAACUAUCUAAAAAAGAUAUAAGAAAAAAAGGAUCUCUAGGAGGGGGAAAACACAUUUGAAAGAUAAAUGUCUCUACCGAGUUUUGAUGGGUCACCCAAGUCUCGGGUUAACCCACUAUGCUGGACCGGGUCUGAUAACUAUUCUUAAACAACAAAAAGUGAGCUUGAGAGUGUUAAUUAUAACUUAUUCCCUUCUUUUCUAGUUCAAUAAAACCAAUUAAUUGGUCCUUAAAAUUUCAAAAUAUAGAUUUAGGUUUAUUUUUGCACUGUUAUUUUUAAAUAUUUUUUAAUUUUAUUUUUGACUCAAGCGUCUGAGCUUAACAACCAGGUCAGACCCAUUCGCCUUUUUUUGAAUGUCAGGCCUAAAAUGCUUGGGUCUAGUAGCCAUGUGAGACCAAAGUAAGUUAGGUCUGACAUGAUUGUCAAACCGAAUGUGUUUUUGUUGGCAUAGUUGUCAGAUCUAAGUCCCUUGAGACCAGAAUAGUUGCCAAACCCAAGUAUCUUGAGCCUGACAUAGUUGCUAGAUCUAGGCGUGAGUCUAACGUUAUUGCUACAUGCAUCCCUAAAAUUCAUUUAAUUUUUUUUAUAGUAAUAUCUAAUUUUAGUAAAGAAAUUAUCUAUAAAAUUGUACAAAUUAAAAUAGUCAAAAGAACAAUAAAUCUUUUAAAUAUACAAUAUUUUUUCCCCAUGACAUAAUAUAUCAAUUCAAAAUUUAUCCAUUAUGAUCAUAUAUUUAAAAUUUUCAUAUAUAUUAAUAGUUAUAAUAUAGAAUAAACUCCCUGUUGCUGUUGGAUUGCUUAUGAAAAUGGACAACGCAGGUUGCCAACCGAAUGUUGUCACAUACAGUACGCUUAUUGAUAGCCUUUGCAAGGAUAGACUAGUCGAAGAGGCUUUAGAUAUCUUCUCUGAAAUGAAAAGUAAAAGGAUUCAACCGAAUGUUGUCUCUUACAAUUCCUUGAUGCAUGGUCUAUGCAAUUCAGACCAGCAGGAAGAGGCGUCAGCAUUGUUCAAUGAAAUGACGAGUUUCAUCAUCAUGCCAGAUGCAGUUACCUUCAACAUUUUGGUCGAUACACUUUGUAAAAAGGGCAAGAUUUCAGAGGCUCAAGGAAUAGUCAAGACAAUGAUUGAGAAGGGUGUGGAGCCUAGUACCGUGACUUAUAGUUCGUUGAUGAAUGGAUAUCUUUUGCAAAACAGAGUUUUUGAAGCUAGAAAGGUAUUCAAUGCGAUGAUAACCAGGGGCUGUAUACCUGACGUUCUUAGUUACAACAUCUUAAUCAAUGGAUGCUGUAAGGCCCAGAGGAUAGAUGAGGCAAAACAAUUUUUUGAUGAAAUGAGUUUUCGAGGCUUAAUUCCAAAUACUGCUACUUACAACACUCUUGUAAGUGGUUUGUCUCAAGCAGGGAGAAUUUUUGAAGCAAAAGAGCUUUUCAAGAAUAUGCAUGUCCAGGGCUGCAUGCCUAAUGUUCUUAGUUACAACAUCUUAAUCAAUGGAUCUUGUAAGGCCCUGAGGAUAGAUGAGGCAAAACAGCUUUUUGAUGAAAUGAGUUUUCGAGGCUUAAUUCCAAACACUGCCAGUUACAACACUCUUAUAAGUGGCUUGUUUCAAGUUGGGAGGAUUUUGGAAGCAGAAGAUCAAGCUUUUCAAGGAUAUGCUUGCCCAGGGCUGCUCCCCUGAUCUAGUAACUUACUCAAUUUUUCUUCAUGGCUUAAGCAAACAAGGUUACCUUGAUCAGGCAUUGGAACUAUUACGAGAAAUGCAAAAUAAUUACUUGAACCCUGAUUUGGUGAUCUAUAAUAUCUUAAUUGAUGCCAUGUGCAAAUCUGGGAAGCUUGAAGAUGCAAGGGAGCUGUUUUUGAAACUCCAUGUCAAAGGAUUGCUGCCUGAUGUUCGAAGUUGGAC
rnacentral:lncRNA from 1 species